UUUUUUUAAAAAUCUUAAGUACUAAAGGGGGAAACCGUGACCAAGGGGGUAGAACUUCCCUUUGUCUCAAAAAUUUAGUCCCGGUUGUAUUUUCGGGAUUUAUGACCCUUUCCAACCGAAACUAAAGCCGCGUUUUCCACCAGUGCCCUGCCAUCUCCACGGACCAUCCAGAUGUCCACCAACCUCCCAUGGCCAGUAGCGUUCACGCCGCCUCGGCGGCUCGAACUGCCUCCACCACCCGCUACUUUGCCGCCCGAACCUCCUUCUAGAUCCACCGGGGAUAGGUACGCCCUUUCUUCAAAACCCCGAACCCUGAAAGCUUGUGGGAAGCUCCCCGGAGCUAGAGAAGAAACAGAGAGCUGAAAAAAACAGGUACGUAAUCUUUCCCCACCCGAGUCAUCUUUAGAAAUUUCGUUUUUUCUUUUGACGGAUAGAUCCGUGUUGGUUAAUUAAGUGCGCAUGCCGCACGUGGGCUCACAACACGACACAAGGCGCAUGCUCCUCCAUGUGAUGCGUCGUGUACGACUCGAACUAGAUCUCGUCUCCGAAAACAUCUCGGCAUGCUCGUGCAGACCGAGUAGAAAACACCCAAACCCUCUGCUAAAGAUUACGAUUAUUAGCCUUUGCGUACGGAACAUACAACCUCGAGGGAGAGAACCAGCUGAUCCAAUUCAAUCAAUCACGCCGACAAUGCAGGACAAGGCUGGGCAGUUCAUCUGCUGGCUAGACUUGGUCAGGCUCAACUCGCCGGCGGCAGGCUCCAACCGGGACCGCGGGCUGGUUCUCAAGGGCAUGCCCGGGCCCAAGGUCGUCGUGCAGUGCCUCGAUGGCACCGAGGUGACGGUGAAUGCUCGCAACGUCCGUGUCGCGGACCGGAGCUACUUCUGCCCGGGCAUGGUCGUCGCGUCGGCGUCAGACCGUGGCGGCCAGCUCGGGGUCGUCACGGGCGCCGCCGUGGAAUUGGAUCUGGUCCGGCUAGACGGUGAGGACGCGGCGGCGACGUUGGUCGCGAGGGGCGUGUCCCCAGCGGAGCUGCGCCGCGUCAGUGAGUUCUGCCUAGGCGACUACGUCGUGUCAGGACCGUGGCUGGGCCGGGUCUUCGAGGUGUCCCUCGACGUCGACGUGCUCUUCGACGACGGCACCGUCUGCAGGGUCACAACAGCGGACGGCAAGCUGUGGCCCGUCGGCGAGGGCUCUUCAAAACGCUACACCAACGUCUUCUAUCCGGGGCAGCGCGUCGGCGGCCGCUCGUCCGUCUUCAAGGCCGCCCGGUGGCUCAAGGGCUACUGGAAGCCCAGCGAUGGCGAGGGCACCGUGUCCAAGGUGGAAACCGCCAGCGUGCUCGUCUACUGGGUCGCGUCGUCGCAGCUGGGCGCCGAGAGGUCCGUCGUCCAGGCGUCGUCCACGCCGGCGCACCAGCAGAGCCCUCGCGAUCUGACAUUCUUCCGCGCUGGCGACGACGUCUUGGCAAGGUUCUGGGGCGUGGGCGACCGCUGCUUCUUCCGCGCUCCUUGCCGCCGCCGCGUACUCCCUGCCGGCGAUGUCGGUGCCAACCGGAAUCGGCUGCGGCGGCUGGGGGCGAAGCGGACGCCGCGACGAGAAAGCUGGAGCCACGCAGGGUUCGAGCGGCCGUUGUCCGUCGCCAGCACGCGCACGACGCUCGACGUGCUGUGGCAGGACGGGACGCGGCAGUGCCAGGCGCCGUCGGUGUCGCUCGUUCCCACGAUGCCACAGAACACCCACCACUUGUUCCCGGGCCAGCGCGUCGUUAGCAGGACAUCGUCGGACGGCGACGGCGACGUCGCGCGUUCUGGUGUCGUCAGAAGCCUCAACUUCACGGACCAGACCGUGCGCGUGUCGUGGCAAAAGGCGGCGGCUGAACACGCCGAUGACGAGACACUGAGCAGCACGUACGAUCUCGGCAGGGAUUUCGACAGCAAUGUCUUCUAUGGAGAUGUUGUCGUCGACGGCGUCCAACAGACUCCUCAAUUGGGGUCGCCGGCGACAUUUGUGGAAGCACGGAAGAGCCAGUGCUGACACGGUGCCGAAAGAAGGAGCCCACUAGAGCUCAUGAUCUUUCAUGGGUCGGACACAUAGUUGAUUUUUGUGAUGCACACCAUGUCCAAGUCAAGUGGGGUGACGGCAACAUGUCCAAGGUAUGCAACACGUCCAUAGAAUUACUAUAAUAUUAAUGGACCAUUUUAAAAAUGCUUAAAAGGAAGUGGUUUUCUAGAAACAGCUUUUAUUUUUGACGCCCAAGAAACUUUUUUUUCACCUAGAUACCAAAAUCCAAGUUAAUUUUGGUACCUCUUGAAGGCUCCUUACCAAUACAAAUCACCUCACAAUCACUGAUUGAAUCUUUUUUUUUGCAGCUAUAUAUGUAUACAUUAAUUACUUCAUAUAUUAGGACCAUUAUUCAAAAACGACCUUAUUAACUUCUACUUAUUUGAUGGUACCAAUUUCAGGUGUCUUUCCAUGAGAUAACUGUCGUCAAAGAGCAAAGUUUUGGUGAGUUCCUUCAGGAAAUAGGCGAGUGGGUGUCUGAAGAUGGAGGCAUGAGCAACGACGCUAUUGAUCACGAAGCACAAGUGACUGCCGCUGCCGUUGUAAGUAUCCCUCCGCACACAAAUUUCAAUUCCCCAAGAGAUCGGGUAAAUGGUUGGACGGUGCCGGGAGCGUCAACCUCGGAGCUUACGGCCAGAGGGAACAACAAUGUAUCCGCACCCGUGUCCGGUGGUGAUGGUGAUGCCAUGGAGACCUCCACUGCUGUGGCAGGCAUCAAUGGAGAAGGUGGUGGUGAGGGGAAGCAGGCAGAGGCAGAUGCCACCCGCGAUGACAAGUCAUUUAGCUUCCCACAAUUUGAUAUCGUGCAGAGCCCUUCAGAUCACCAUUACCUUGAUAACAUGGAGCAUGUUCGUAAUUUUCUUUUUUUUCCUAAGGCCCUGUUUGGAUCUUUGGAAUUGAAUUCCAUUCUAAUAAUCAUUAUCUAGAUAUAAAUUAAUUAAGCUAAUAUAAUUGUCUGUGGAAUAUAUUUGUAUAAUAUUGUUGGCGAUAUGGGAGAAAUAGUUAUGUGUUGCACUUCUGCUAUAGAGAAGCGAGUCCAAGAGCGUGCUAUAAGAAUUGAAUUCCAUUCUAAUAAUCAUAAUCUAUGGAAUCAAUUUCCAUCUCCCACCCCGUAAAUUUAAGAUAGGCUUAUAUCUAAACUUUGGAAAGUUGUGGAAUACCACAUUCAAGAUAAAUUAGCCUACUCCAUUAAGUAAAUUCCAAUUCCUUCAAAAUGAAGGAAGCUAAAUGGGUCCUAAGGGUUUUUUAGCUUUAUGAAUAUAUUAACAGUAAUACAUAUGAUGUAUAAACAGUAAUACAUUUUUUUUGGUAAAAAUUAAGAAAACGAUGGUUGCUGAAAACCCUAUAUAAUAUAAUACAAGUUACUGAUGGUUCAAAUUAAUUAAAUGAUUGCCCGUUUAGUUUUCAUACAUUGAAUCUGCCACAGUGAUGUGUCCUAUAUAUAUAGUGACUGCUAAUUAAGUUGAUGUGCUUUUGUAAACAGGGCACUGGUGGGGGGAAGAAGUGGAUGAAGAGGGUGCAAAAGGAAUGGAAUAUUCUUGAGAAUAACUUGCCAGGUACACAGUGAGUUAAUUUGCAUAUGGAGGGAAUAAAAAUUUUGAACUUUUGCAAUCAAACACAAACUCUUUCGACAUGUAUCUAAAGGUUUGUCCGUGCAUGCAGACACCAUCUUCAUGCGGGCGUACGAGGACCGCAUGGACCUCCUGCGAGCGGUGAUGGUCGGAGCUAGCGGGACGCCGUACCAUGGCCGCAUGGACCUCCUGCGCCGGCCGCCGGCGGGCUUCGAGGAGUUCGUCAGGGACCACUUCCACCGGCGAGGGCAGCACGUGCUCCGAGCGUGCGAGGCAUACCUAGAUGGCUGCCUCGUGGGCACGCUCGAUGGCGAGGGGAGCGGGGCGCGGCGCCCGUGCUCGGCGGGGUUCAGGCUCGCCCUCGCCAACGUGGUGCCCCGGCUUGUUGAGGCGUUCACCGCGAUCGACGCUGAUGGAUGCAAGGAGUUCGAUCGGAUACGGGUGCCAACAGUAUGCACUUAAUUUGUCUCUGCUACUCGCUAGUCCAUUUGUAUCCUACUUACAUUUUAAGUUACAAAACGCGUGUUCACACAUUUGAACUUUGACAUCAAUAUUAUAUUUUUGUAUACUGUUGGGAAUGGUACAGCAGUUUUGCUACAUACUCCCUUCGUCCCAUACUUCAUAAAUAAUAUUUAUUUUGACUUAACAUUUGCGAUAUGUCUAGAGAUAGAUGUACCUAGAAAAUCCAAAUAAAAAUAAAUAGUAAACUUUGGGAGGUAGGGGUAUAGUUUGCAGCUGCAAUUCGUGAUCAAAGGUAGUAGUGUGUUGAUGGUAGUAUUUCGUUAUCCAAACACGGCACUCUAUUGUGACGAACGAACACUGCUGGAUGAUCUCUAUCAGUACUGCUUGUUUGGUACUAAAUGCCACACCAAUCGGUACUAAAUGCACCAUUUAGUACACCAACCAGUACUAACUGCAUGCCACGUCUCGUUGUUGUCAAUGGCAGUUUAGCACCGGUUGGUUUUACUAACCGGUACUAAAUGUUAUUCUUUUUUCCUUUUCGUUUUCCUUUUGUUUUAUCGUUUUCCUUUUGUUUUAUAAUUUCUAUUCAUAUCCGACGGAGCUUUUACUAAUAAUAUUACGUUAAUAUAUUAACCCAUUCAAAUCCAAGUCUCACAAAUAUCAGCCCAUUCAAAUCAUUAACACUCCGAGAAGAUUGUAUAUGCAAUAAAAUAUAUACAUCAACACUUAAGGUCUAAGAGAGAACAAGUUCAAAUUCAUAAGCAAAUAGUAGGGUACCGGUACAUCCAUGCAUGUUACAUAUUUCUUACUUCCUUAGAUAUGGAACAUAGUUAAGGUCUCCAAUCAUCCAGCCUAGACCUUCGUCAAAAUAAGCUAGAGCACGGAUGAGUGCACUCUCCUUCGCUUCGUAUGGAUGGUCACAUACACUACCAUAGAUCUCAAACAAUGGAGAGGUAAACUGAUGUGGCCUGUAUAAAGUGAGAUGAGCUUGGAGCUUGAAAUCUCUGGUGAGUAUCGGAUUUCCACCCAUGUAAGUCUAAUCCAACACAUCCAAGACUUGAGCUAGAAUCACGCGAAAGCUCGUUGCUGCAUUGGUAAUACCAACUAAAAGAUGCUAAUAAUGUGAUGAAAGUAAAAUGAUAUAACAUAACUAAAGAUAAAAAAAUGUUCCAUACCAUGUCAUAUUGAUUUCUCCCUCCUCGAGCUGCUUUAUUCAAAUAUAUGAUAAGUCUGGCACAAAGUACCCAUGAUCCUUAAGCUGUUGUAGGUAGGCCUCCACGAUGGUCCUAUCAAAAGUUACCCUAUCUGGUGCUACUUGACCCCAUACAACAAUUGAAACUAUUAGGAUGGCCUGUCCUGGAGAUAUCGAGGUGAAUUAUGUUUCUCGAACAGGUACUUGAAAAAAGAUAUGUACUCUUUUAAAACGAGGUUCACCAACAACAUCAGUUUGCACUAAAGAUAUCGAGGUGCUUGUUUGGAGGGGGUCCCUACCUUACCUUAUAUUGCUGGGGUAAGGUUACAGGUUGGUUGUUGUACAAAAGUACUAGUUGGAUUCGAUCAAAGAGUCUUACUCUAACUGCCACGUGUAGUUUUCUAAUCCUCAACUAGUCCUUGUCUACCACAUAGACCACGCCGUCCUGCACCAUAGUUUCCAUAUCUAACACGUCUUGGUGUACAGUCCCAUAUGUAGGACUGUCCAAGCCUCCUGACAGUCUCAUAGAUAUAUGCUCGAAAACCGCCACCUCGACUGGUGACCGCGCCAUCGCCACGACGGGUGACCGUGCUGUCGCCUCGGCCGACAUCUCUAUCACCACCACCACCUACUAUCUUACCAUCCCGAAGCUUCCUCUUAAACCAUUGGAGACAGGUAAAACCCCUCCCUCCAAACCCCGAACUCUAUUGGCAUAGUUUAGCUUUCCCUAAAGAUAAGCUUUGCCAUAUUUUUGUCAGAAAAGAUAGAGAUAAUCCGAAAAAAUUUGUACAGGCUUACUGGGCUGGUGCGCGAGAGGCAGGCCGCGGGCGUGUCAAGUCAAGUGCACCGCCUGGGCCAUCUUGCUCCAGGUAUGAUUACAGAAGAUGACCUCAAUUUCUGACUUUCUUCUGAUAAUCUAGAAAAGUAAAUAAGCUUAUAAUAAUGUACACUUACCACUUGUUGACAUUGCCAAAUAACUGUAUCUCUCAACAUAUUUUGCUGUUACAGUCUGUGUUAUGUGAGAUUGCAGAAAUACAAUCUGAAAAGUAGUCACUUGACACAAUACUGGUGCCUGUUGGCCAAAGCCCUCUUUGAAUUUUCAUCUACUCACUGUUCUUUAUUCUUCUAAUGAACACUUAUCUGGUGAAAAAUAUUUGUUCAUAGUUGCUGCUAUCCCUUAUUCUAUGUAUAUGCAUUAUUCUUUAUUUGGUGCUGAGUUCAAUUGAAUGGCAUUUAUUAUUUCAGAUCAACUUUCACCUGGUAGGUGGUUGUAACGCCUGUAAAUUUACUAACUCAAAUCACCCGCUAAAAAUUUGUUUAAAAAUAUUUCGACUGUUGAGCUCCCAAAAGUCUCGUCCUUCCCGGCGACCCCGCCGUCCUGGCACCUAACGUUGUCAGUCAUCUUUUUCCAUCCCUGCAAAUUUCGCCGCAUGCCCAUCUCAUCCGUCGCGCGUGCCCGACCAAUUCCGAAAUUUUUGCCCACUCUCCCCCUCUCUUCUUUUUUUCCCUUCCCCUUUUUCUCUUUCCUUUUCUUCUUUUCUUCCUUCUCUUUCUUUUUUUCUUCCUUCUUCCUCCUCCGAUUUCUUCUCUCCUCCCUUCCCUUCUUGGCGCACCCUUCCUGGCACCAAAUGUCUGGCGCUAGUGCCUGGCGCCGCUUGCCUGGCCACCUGCGCCUGCACCCAGCCCCGCGCGCCGUCGACCGCGUCGAGCCUCUCGCCGGCCAUCGGUCGUCGCCCGCUACCGCACGCCACACCGGUCGUCACCCCUGUGCUCCUCGUCGAUCAAGCCAGCCCCCACCACGCCAUCCACGAGGAGUUCCGCUCCGGCAUGCCACCGGCCGGAAACUCCGGACAGCAUUAAGCUCGCCGGCCCUGCCGCCCCUGUGUGCUGUCGCCCCUCCCGCCGCCUAUAAAAAGCGGGUCGAGCCCCUGCCGCCUCCCCACCACCACCGGCGUCGUCCCCUGCCUACCGCCAGCACCGCCCCGGCUCCCUGCGCACUGCCGCUCCGUGGCAAUCCACCGCUGCCGCCCCACGGCACGCCCGGCGCCCCCCUCCUCCAACACCAUCCGCCCAAGGUGAGGCCUCAAAUGGAGUCCCCUCGGCCUCCUCUACCUCCUCCACUACUCGGCCACCGCCGGCGUGGCCCGGCCAACCGCCCUCUCCCCCUACCGGUUUUCCCCUCCUCUCCCAUCUCCCUAUCACGGUCCAAGGAAGAAGAAGGCCCCAAUUUCAAUCUAACCCCCUGGUUUCCCCUAUUCACAAACCGGCCCUCCCACCUCUCUCAAAGAAGUAUCGCGGAUACGCCCUUCCAUCUUUCAGAAAUAAUUGCAAAUAGGUCCCUGGUUCAUGCAGUUUAGUCCUAAACCUUGUUUUAAGCCCCUAACACUCCUUUAACUCGUCAUUUCAUGCACCAAACUUCGUCUAAUUGAUCCCAAAUUUGACCACGGCCUCCUCCCAUAUACUUCCGCUGAAGCAUAUCCAAAUUUUAAUUCUCUUUUAUUUAUUGUGUGCUCGAUUGUGUGUGCCGUAGAUUGCGGAGUACCCGAGGAGGAGCACGAGGAUGAGUUUGAACGCGAGCCUAAGCUCGAGGACCAGUACCGCGAGCAGGAAGUCCCGCAAGGCUUUGAGAACGGCAAGUCUAAUCUCACCCUUUGAUGCAUAUUUAUCCUAGUUUUUCAAACACAAUCUCUUGGCCUGUUUUAUAAAUUGCAUAUUGUCUUUCUGCGGAAACAUGGUUGGAUAGCUACUCCUUUAUUGUUAUGAUUAUUCCUUGCUUGUCCUAUAAUUAUCUCUAAAUAUGACUAGCUCUGUUUGGACGAUAAUUACUGCUAGAAUGCUUAGGGCCUUGUUACUCAAUGCAAUCAUGACUACAAUGCGUUUUGUUAAAGACUAAAUGUGUGAGUGUUUUAAAAAGGGAAACCGGGUUUUCGGAAGUAAAGGAAAGAAAUGCUUAGAUGAGAUGGAUGGGUGUUUCAGGUGUGAAAUGCCAAUAAGUUGGGCUCGUACCUUGGUGGUUGAGCAAGGUUGGGAGAUAUCCAUCUUUUCAUGGUUAAGGACCGAGUUGAUGUGUCAUCUUGCCUAACCCAACCUUCGUGCAACCACUCGACCGUUGUAUGCGGCAACGGCUUACCAUAAAUCCCACUAGCUAAACUUUUAGUCUUCAGGAGAGCUGGUGAGCAGCGGGAGUCCAUGGAAAAGGAGUAUGAUCUUGGUUACUUAGGUCCCGGUUAAAGAUCUCGUUGGGAGGUCAUUAACCCCUUGGUUACUUCCAUGUUGAAUAGUCAAGCUUAGCUAAGGUGGGUAAUGGCUUUGUUAGGAUCCGCACCGGCACUAAGGUGAUCGUGCUGCGGUACCCUACUUGAAAAAAAAGUGUACAACCUCUGCAGAGUUAAAACCUAUUUGGGUAGCCGUGUUCACGGCAUUGGACGAGUUACGGCUUGGUCACAUAACUAGCACUUGGAGUUGGAUAAUUUUUAUGGCGUGUGUUGGAUUUUGGAAGUAUCCGACAGUUGUGCGGUGAGCUAUGGCGGAUGGGCAGUCCGAUAGCAAUUAAAUUUUGGAUCUUUUAUGUAGGAUCAACCCCACUUCAUGUUCCGGUUUCUAAAGGAAAUGUUUUGCAAAAAAGCUUUGAAAAUGAACCCUUGCACGUGUUCAAAAUCUAGCUUUACUGCAAAUAAACGUUAAACUCAUCCUUGUUAUAUCAUGUGCACACUCUUGCUUGUAUCCCCCUCCGUGGAUGGGGCCGGGUUCCCAAUCGGUUGCCUUUUGCCAAUAAAGAAUCGGCCGAUUAGGAGGUUGGGUUAAUUGGGCCUGUAUGGGCUUGGAAAGGAAUAGAAGGAUAAGGGGGAGAUCAGCCCAUGAAGCGUAUAAUAACCAACCUAGCACGAAUCGUGCUUGUAAAUAUUCGUUUUCUAUUUGAAUUAGGGAUAGAAUUCUAGUCAGUUAAGGAGUCGUCUGUACGGGGCUAUAAAUAGCUACCUUUGUAAAUCUGUAAUCAUCAACUACUCAAUACAACCAACUACUUUUUCCUCGUACUUACUUUCAAGCAGGCGACUUCGCCAAAUACUUUCUCUUUUCACGAGUUCGUACGGGUUGGCAGGGCUGCAUCAACUUGAUGUCCGGCCGAUCUUGUAAGUUCCGUUUACCGAGUAAAUUCUAAGCUUUAACUUCGGGUGUAUCGCUGUUGUUUCGUUUAGAUUUAUUCACUAGUUAUCGAUAUUUACUAGAAUCAUAGGGUUUACCUGUCUUUCUAGUUUUAUCACCAGUUAUCCAGCUAGGAAUCGGUGGUUUCGGCUUUCUUUACGUUCUGCUAUUAAAUUCAUCUAUUUUAUAUAUUGCCGAUUAGAUCUAUUCCUAGUAUUGUUAUCAUAGCAUUGUGUCGAUUACUCUAGUAGUUUUCUAUCUACAAGGCUACAGUGAUCGGCUGCCUUAUAGCCGAUUUCUUUAUUACGGCAAAUCGGCCGAUUCGCUGAUAAGCUCUCUCGAGAUCGGAAACUUAGCCGAUCGUGAUUUCUGGACCUAACACGUAUUCUUCCUUGCCAAUCAACAGGUCAGAUUGGCUGGCACGCCGCGCGAACCACACCAGGGCAAUCACCCGAACAGGAGUUAAGCAGAUUCUCCCGGGUCGUGUGUCAGACGCUGGGGAUUCGGUUGACCGAUUUCUAGCACCAACAGGUUUCUAAAGGAAAUGUUUUGCAAAAAAGCUUUGAAAAUGAACCCUUGCACGUGUUCAAAAUCUAGCUUUACUGCAAAUAAACGUUAAACUCAUCCUUGUUAUAUCAUGUGCACACUCUUGCUUGUAUCCCCCUCCGUGGAUGGGGUUGGACUUGUUGAGUACUUUCGUACUCACCCUUAUUUUGUUGCUUCAGAGGAAGACCCGUACUACGUCGCCGAAGAUUUCGAGUAGGAGGUCGCUUCCGCACGCAAUGCUACCUGUGGUGUUGGCCUUUACAGGAUGCUUCCGCUGACGCUUAGUUCCGAUUGCAGUCCAAAGUCCGACUGGACUGCAACUUGGAUCUGUAUCGUUGUUGGUUUAGUUCUUCUUUGGGUGUGGCUUUCCCUCCCGCUCCUUUGUGAGUUGUACGGUUUUUGAACAAUCUGUUGAAUAAAUAUGUUAUCAGCCUCCUGAGACUGAUAUUUGUAUCACAUUUAGUUUCUACUUACGUGGGGACGCUUCAGGUGGUAUCAGAGCUGUCGUUGGCUGUAGGACGCAACCAUUAGGAUCGUAAAAGUCUUUUCGACCAAAAUAAAUGAUUUACAAAAUUUCUUGCUUCCCCUACUCAUUUGCAAAACUGAUUUACACCCCGAUUCUUUCCAGAUGGCCGAAGAAGGAUGGGUCAACAGCCACCGCCUGGAGGAGCAUGAUUUUCUCAGGUUGCUGUUCGCCUGCAUGGACCGCCUCGGGAUUUAUGAGCGCCCGGAGUACACCACCAGGGAGUAUUAAGUGGUUAAUGACAUAGUUUUCCUAUUGUGCUAGAGUAAAUCAGCACACGCCUUUGUUUGACUUACUAAUUUCAUUUUUAUGUCUUUGUUGUCCUAUCUUGAACUCCAAGGACCGUCGGGCUUGGACUUUGGUCAAUCAGUCAGAGUACUACAGAGACUCAGCCACUCAGGUACAAUUAGCAUGAAAAAGCAUUUGGAUCCGGUCACUCUAGUAAGGACUAAGGAAUCCUCAAUACAGCUAGUUUACUUCUCUGUGUUUGUUGAGUUGGUUUUUCAUCCUAACCAAUGAUCUGAUAAAAUAAAAUAGUUCAGCAGAUUGCGCAAGAUUGAGUCCCCACUCCCCAACAUGAUAUCCCAUCAUUUAUCUUUUUAUGGUUACCUUUCUGAAAUAGAGAUCAAGGUCACUCCAGAAUAAUCAUCUACUUCUGAAAAGUCUGAAGGUAGGUGUCCAACAUAUUUCUACUACUCUAGAGUUUCAGUGAAACAGCAGAACUCUUGGGCAUGAUCUUUUUGUCUUUGUUGUUACCAUGGAAACCGAGUUCUACAUUGAUUGAAUCUUGCAAUGCUUGAUUCAUCUCUGCUGCACUCAGUCAGGUCUGAUACUUUGCUAGAUUUGUGUCCUUAGACUCUGAAGCAAAAUCUUGUUAUAGGCUUUCUGUAGCAAAAUUGAUUCCUGUUUUGCAGUGUGUACUUAGACUCUUAGAUCGCUGUUAGUUGAAACUGACGAAUCAUACUGGCACCUAGGUGGUAUCUUAUCUCACAAGUAGUGUUUGCCUUGGCUUGGUGCAGCGUUGUUCCUUGAGUCAGUGUCCAUGCAGAUGAUACAAGAGGUUGCACCAGCCACUCCGCUGUCCCAGUCAGGAAUUCCAAUGGAAUGCCUGGUCCUGGUCCUGGACUUUCUAAGGGUUAAAUGUUAACAACACCAUGUCCAAAUACUAACACUGCUUUUGUGCCUUUAUCCUUGCCAUGGAAACAGGGUUUGCUUGAGCUUGACUUUGCACAAUUAGCCAUGGUACAACAAAUAGUGUUAGGUAAUUAGCACCUAAAAAACAUUCAGGUUCAGUCUGAUUACUCUGUACGUACGUGACAUUGGUGGUCGUACCUGGUAGUGCAUAUUGUGCAAGCUCAAGUACUGUACACAAUUCAGCAAACCAGCAUAACUUGUUUGGCCAUCAAUUUAAUUUGUCUCUUUGGUCUUAACAUAAAAACAGAAUUCUCUGCGGCGGUUCAGUGUCACCGUGCACGGCACCAGGCACUAGUGCCACCAGAACAGCUUGCAACGUACACCGUUGUCCUCAAAUUUGUUCAGGGGUGUCACAUGUGUCCUUACCCUUUUAAAUUUGCAGAUUAUGUCGCUCAAGUUCCAAACAUCAGUAAUUAGCAUAUGCUUGCCUUUACCAUGCCAUUAAGUUGCUACACUCGCUUUCCUUUAGUCACUUGGUCUAUUUUGCAAAUUUAUGCCUCUUUUGAUUGUGUUGUCAUCAGUCAUAAAAAAGGGGAUAUUACUGAAAGUAGUUCCAUUAGGCUAUUGUCUUGUGAUUUUGGUAGUUGAGUGGUUAUGUAAUCACUGGGACAUAUGUUUGUCAAGUAUAUGUUUUGGAAGGGUUUCCUAGGUCUCAAGAUGAAAUACAAGUGAAGCAAGCAACCAUGGCAUGAAGAAUGGAGCAAAAUAAGCAAAGAUGUACAAUGGAGUGUUCGGUCGGUCACUGGACUGAAAAAUAGUACGUGGGAGUGAAAUAUACUAAAAAUUAAUUAUAUAUAGUAAUUAUAUAAAUACUAGUUUGAUGUGUAUAAUAUACUAAAAUUUAUAUAGGCCUCCGCUAUUUGGUACCCAGGGUACAGAAGUUAUUCUGUACCUGAGAACCACCUCCGCGCCCGUCCGAGCGCUCCUUCAGUACCGGAUCUUUUUUUUCUUGGUCUACAAACUAUUUCGAGAAAAAACACGUAUUGGAAAAGGACGCACUAAAUGACAAGCCUUCUGAUUAUUUGGAAAUUCUAUAAAAUAGAAUUGUAAAAAUUACAAAAUUUGCUCCAUAGAACAUGCAUUGCUUUUUGUUUGCAGACACUACAUAACAGAAUUUAAAAAAAAAAUUGCAAAAUUUGCUCCAUAGAAAAUUCAUUGGUUAAAAAAGUAUUUAAAAUUGUAUAAUUGUUGGUUCAAGAAUUCAGUUUGUAUGAUCAAACGGACCAAUAUUUAGAUUGAACCAUCGAAAUUGUCAUGUUUCCUUAAUCAAAAUGUUUGUUCAUCAUAUCAAAGGGUCUUUAAGGUCCAACUUAUCUUUUUUAUUAAUUGAAAUGUGAGCUAGUACAGUAAAUAUUCAACGACUGAGUGAUCUUUACAUUCGUGAUAAAUCUAGCCAUACAAAUUGGCGACCAGGUGUCUCAAUUUCAUGAGACGGAAUUUCGCAAUAGACUGAGCAGUCAGGUGCCCCAAGAAUACUAAUUGGUUAAUGAAUCUUUGUUCUCUGUCCUCUCUAUGACCAAUGUCAUCUGCCUCAUAGUCACAUUGCUUGUAACCUACUUGCACACAAACAGACUGAAAAACAACAUAUUGAAACAUGUGGGCAUCUAAACAAUAGUACAAUUUUGCUGGUGUCUUAAUCAGAAGCAAACCAUAGUGAGCUUGUCACAAUCUCUGUUAGUGUAUUCGUUCCUGAAGUUUGCUUGUGACCUCAUUGUACUCACUGCCGCCCAAGCCUGCAAUAGAACACGAUAGCAAAAGGUUGCAGCAAGCAAAGUGGCAUGCAUAAGCGAAUACUGACAUUUCAGAAUACAUAAGUACGCAUAUGGACAGUAAUUUUCAUCAGAUCUGGGAUUUAUGAGCAACUGACAUGUCACACAAGCAAUUGUACUAAGCAUGCCAUAAAGUGUAGGAAUCAGAAACCUAAAAUCUGAAAUAUCAGCAGCUACAUAUAAAGAUAAGGGUAGAUAUAUUGAUACCGCAUAUUAUGCCCACUGUUUAAUAGGUGCAAUCUUAGAAGAGAUACUAAAGCCAAAUGGGAGCAUACUGACAAAUGAAGCAAAUGAAACUUCCACCUUCAGGCCAAUAGGCCAUGGCAUACCAAGUGAAAAUUCUAUAUAGUGGGGGAGAAAACCAACAGAUAGUUGCAAGCAUUCUAAUUAUAGAUUUAACUGCACAGCACCAACUACAAAAGAAUAUGCCUUUUUUAAAAAAAAAAGAAACGUCACCUAAUGAGUGCUCUUUGCGAAAAAAAUAAGAAAACAAAACUAAAUUCUUCAUGACAGAUAACAGAGAAAACAAUCACAUCUUCUAUCUUCUGGAAACAUCACACUUCUAUCACCAUGGAAAGAAACAAUAUCAUUUAAAUUAACGAUAGAUAUCACUCAGUUCUUCAUCUGAAACAAUUAUCAGCUGGUCCAGGGGCUGAAAGAUUUGAUUGGAUCGAUAUGAGAUAACCCUGGAAAGCAUAUAGUCACUACUUGUAACUUGAUUUAAUUCGCACCAGCAGCUAUACCUAUUGGCUAUUGCACAUAAUCACACUGAGGGACAUGUGAGAUGGUAAGGUAAAAAAAACCUUUAUUCUAGAUGUACUGCUGGACUGUAUCCCCUUUUGCCUUGAUUUUUCAAUGUUAUAUCUGGGAUAAUUUGUAUUGCAAACAUGAACCUGUCAGCACGACUGCAUCACAAGGAAAAGGGGAUUAGCAUGCAUGCAAGAAUCUAUAGAAAAACAACAGAGAGGCAAUAUGGUUACAAAACAACAAUUACCAUGCAGAUUGAUUAUCGGAGGAAAUAAGAUCCACCUCUCCAGUGGUGUUAGAUCUACACAAAGGAGCAUAAAUUAAAAUUGGAAAUAGGAUUAAUUGAACAAAAAUCACAGGCAAGAUCAAUUUCAUCAGAAGAAUUCCUGAUCUCAUGCAGUCUCAGCAGCAUGCCAUCAUGGAUGCCUUCCAGCAUAAUUGACCAGAUACGGCCGCGCAUGCCCCAACAACAUUCGUGUGACACAAAUCCAAAAUCAAUUUCACCAACAUCAAACACAGUUGCUCACCUGAUUGCCGAGAGUGUCGCUGUUGCCACAUAUGCUUGCGUCUGCACGGAUGAGGCACAACAACCUGGGUACUCGCAGAAGCUGAUGACCACGAGUGAAGAACAAGUACAUGAGCGUGCUGUUAAUGGCAUGAAUCCCAGCGGAGAGAAGGCAUCUAGCAGUAGCACGUAUGCCUGAACUCCAUAGGAAACAAAUCCAAAAAAAUCCGCAUGCACAUAAGCACAAAAGUUUUGAAUCUUUGAACUAGAUUUUGGAUGGGGGCACACAGAUUGCACCAACCUGGAGCUCCCUUCGUGAUGGAGGGCAUCUCUGGAGCCACUGAGCACUCGCCGCCCACGAGUCAUGAGGAGGAAGCUGCCGCGGCCGGGUCGUCGCACGCAGGGGAUUGGUGCCGCGCCGGAUCAUCGCCACUCCACCGGCGAAGAAACUAGGAGCGUCAACCACACAUCAUGGGGAUAGCAAGAUAACGCGGAUGAGAUUUUCUACGCAGAAAAAUCAAAAAUUUUGGGAGACCAUCCGCAUCACCGCAAUGCAUACCUGCCCUCACGGAUCUAGAAGGGGAGCGCACAGCCGCACCGCCGCUCGCCUGGAGGACGGAGCCCCCGCCUUGAUUUGGUUGUCAGGUCAGCAAAUCCGGUUCGCCCUCACCCACGACGAGGAUCCGGCCGUGAGGUGGCCCUGUUGUCCGCCGUAAGGGGAAGGAGACCGCAGCCGUCAUCACGUGGAGGGGGAUGGCGCCAACGACCAUCACCGACCGACCAGCCCCCGUAGCUUGUGGCACCGUCCAUUAGGCCCACCCUUGGAUCUGGGUGACAGGAAGGGGAUAAGGAAGCAGCCGCCGCAACACUACCGUCGGAGUGCCAGGGAGGGGCGGAGGCGGUGCUGCGGAGGGCCUAGCGGCGGCGGCGGAGUGGAGCAGAGCACGAGAGGGACGGGGAGAGAUGCGGUCGCGGUCUCACAGAACUGUAAAUUCAGUUUGUAGGCCACGAUCUCCGGCUCUCCGCCGUAGAAAAAAAAUAGCAAAAAAACCAGUGCGGGCGGCGGACCGGAGGGGCUCGGGUUAGGUUCAGCUCCAUGGAGCGACCCAGGUACGGAAUAGCUUAUUCUGUACCUAGGGUAUUAUUUAGUAUAUAUAUAUAUAGAUCUAUAUAUAUAGAUCUAUAUAUAUAGAUAUAUAUAUAUUACUGUCAUGAAAUAUAUAUACGACUUGCAUACAAUAUUAAUAUGACUCGAAUAAAAUAUUAAUAUGGAAAAGAAUAUUUUUUUAAAAAAUCUUAAGUACUAAAGGGGGAAACCGUGACCAAGGGGGUAGAACUUCCCUUUGUCUCGAAAAUUUAGUCCCGGUUGUAUUUUCGGGAUUUAAGACCCUUUCCAACCGAAACUAAAGCCGCGUUUUCCACCAGUGCCCUGCCAUCUCCACGGACCAUCCAGAUGUCCACCAACCUCCCAUGGCCAGUAGCGUUCACGCCGCCUCGGCGGCUUGAACUGCCUCCACCACCCGCUACUUUGCCGCCCGAACCUCCUUCUAGAUCCACCGGGGAUAGGUACGCCCUUUCUUCAAAACCCCGAACCCUGAAAGCUUGUGGGAAGCUCCCCGGAGCUAGAGAAGAAACAGAGAGCUGAAAAAAACAGGUACGUAAUCUUUCCCCACCCGAGUCAUCUUUAGAAAUUUCGUUUUUUCUUUUGACGGAUAGAUCCGUGUUGGUUAAUUAAGUGCGCAUGCCGCACGUGGGCUCACAACACGACACAAGGCGCAUGCUCCUCCAUGUGAUGCGUCGUGUACGACUCGAACUAGAUCUCGUCUCCGAAAACAUCUCGGCAUGCUCGUGCAGACCGAGUAGAAAACACCCAAACCCUCUGCUAAAGAUUACGAUUAUUAGCCUUUGCGUACGGAACAUACAACCUCGAGGGAGAGAACCAGCUGAUCCAAUUCAAUCAAUCACGCCGACAAUGCAGGACAAGGCUGGGCAGUUCAUCUGCUGGCUAGACUUGGUCAGGCUCAACUCGCCGGCGGCAGGCUCCAACCGGGACCGCGGGCUGGUUCUCAAGGGCAUGCCCGGGCCCAAGGUCGUCGUGCAGUGCCUCGAUGGCACCGAGGUGACGGUGAAUGCUCGCAACGUCCGUGUCGCGGACCGGAGCUACUUCUGCCCGGGCAUGGUCGUCGCGUCGGCGUCAGACCGUGGCGGCCAGCUCGGGGUCGUCACGGGCGCCGCCGUGGAACUGGAUCUGGUCCGGCUAGACGGUGAGGACGCGGCGGCGGCGUUGGUCGCGAGGAGCGUGUCCCCAGCGGAGCUGCGCCGCGUCAGUGAGUUCUGCCUAGGCGACUACGUCGUGUUAGGACCGUGGCUGGGCCGGGUCUUCGAGGUGUCCCUAGACGUCGACGUGCUCUUGGACGACGGCACCGUCUGCAGGGUCACAACAGCGGACGCCAAGCUGUGCCCCGUCGGCGAGGGCUCUUCAAAACGCUACACCAACGUCUUCUAUCCGGGGCAGCGCGUCGGCGGCCGCUCGUCCGUCUUCAAGGCCGCCCGGUGGCUCAAGGGCUACUGGAAGCCCAGCGAUGGCGAGGGCACCGUGUCCAAGGUGGAAACCGCCAGCGUGCUCGUCUACUGGGUCGCGUCGUCGCAGCUGGGCGCCGAGAGGUCCGUCGUCCAGGCGUCGUCCACGCCGGCGCACCAGCAGAGCCCUCGCGAUCUGACAUUCUUCCGCGCUGGCGACGACGUCUUGGCAAGGUUCUGGGGCGUGGGCGACCGCUGCUUCUUCCGCGCUCCUUGCCGCCGCCGCGUACUCCCUGCCGGCGAUGUCGGUGCCAACCGGAAUCGGCUGCGGCGGCUGGGGGCGAAGCGGACGCCGCGACGAGAAAGCUGGAGCCACGCAGGGUUCGAGCGGCCGUUGUCCGUCGCCAGCACGCGCACGACGCUCGACGUGCUGUGGCAGGACGGGACGCGGCAGUGCCAGGCGCCGUCGGUGUCGCUCGUUCCCACGAUGCCACAGAACACCCACCACUUGUUCCCGGGCCAGCGCGUCGUUAGCAGGACAUCGUCGGACGACGGCGACGUCGCGCGUUCUGGUGUCGUCAGAAGCCUCAACUUCACGGACCAGACCGUGCGCGUGUCGUGGCAAAAGGCGGCGGCUGAACACGCCGAUGACGAGACACUGAGCAGCACGUACGAUCUCGGCAGGGAUUUCGACAGCAAUGUCUUCUAUGGAGAUGUUGUCGUCCGCAGGCGUCCAACAGACUCCUCAAUUGGGGUCGCCGGCGACAUUUGUGGAAGCACGGAAGAGCCAGUGCUGACACGGUGCCGAAAGAAGGAGCCCACUAGAGCUCAUGAUCUUUCAUGGGUCGGACACAUAGUUGAUUUUUGUGAUGCACACCAUGUCCAAGUCAAGUGGGGUGACGGCAACAUGUCCAAGGUAUGCAACACGUCCAUAGAAUUACUAUAAUAUUAAUGGACCGUUUUAAAAAUGCUUAAAAGGAAGUGGUUUUCUAGAAACAGCUUUUAUUUUUGACGCCCAAGGAACUUUUUUUUCACCUAGAUACCAAAAUCCAAGUUAAUUUUGGUACCUCUUGAAGGCUCCUUACCAAUACAAAUCACCUCACAAUCACUGAUUGAAUCUUUUUUUUUGCAGCUAUAUAUGUAUACAUUAAUUACUUCAUAUAUUAGGACCAUUAUUCAAAAACGACCUUAUUAACUUCUACUUAUUUGAUGGUACCGAUUUCAGGUGUCUUUCCAUGAGAUAACUGUCGUCAAAGAGCAAAGUUUUGGUGAGUUCCUUCAGGAAAUAGGCGAGUGGGUGUCUGAAGAUGGAGGCAUGAGCAACGACGCUAUUGAUCACGAAGCACAAGUGACUGCCGCUGCCGUUGUAAGUAUCCCUCCGCACACAAAUUUCAAUUCCCCAAGAGAUCGGGUAAAUGGUUGGACGGUGCCGGGAGCGUCAACCUCGGAGCUUACGGCCAGAGGGAACAACAAUGUAUCCGCACCCGUGUCCGGUGGUGAUGGUGAUGCCAAGGAGACCUCCACUGCUGUGGCAGGCAUCAAUGGAGGAGGUGGUGGUGAGGGGAAGCAGGCAGAGGCAGAUGCCACCGGCGAUGACAAGUCAUUUAGCUUCCCACAAUUUGAUAUCGUGCAGAGCCCUUCAGAUCACCAUUACCUUGAUAACAUGGAGCAGGUUCGUAAUUUUCUUUUUUUUCCUAAGGCCCUGUUUGGAUCUUUGGAAUUGAAUUCCAUUCUAAUAAUCAUUAUUUAGACAUAAAUUAAUUAAGCUAAUAUAAUUGUCUGUGGAAUAUAUUUGUAUAAUAUUGUUGGCGAUAUGGGAGAAAUAGUUAUGUGUUGCACUUCUGCUAUAGAGAAGUGAGUCCAAGAGCGUGCUAUAAGAAUUGAAUUCCAUUCUAAUAAUCAUAAUCUAUGGAAUCAAUUUCCAUCUCCCACCCCGUAAAUUUAAGAUAGGCUUAUAUCUAAACUUUGGAAAGUUGUGGAAUACCACAUUCAAGAUAAAUUAGCCUACUCCAUUAAGUAAAUUCCAAUUCCUUCAAAAUGAAGGAAGCUAAAUGGGUCCUAAGGGUUUUUUAGCUUUAUGAAUAUAUUAACAGUAAUACAUAUGAUGUAUAAACAGUAAUACAUUUUUUUUGGUAAAAAUUAAGAAAACGAUGGUUGCUGAAAACCCUAUAUAAUAUAAUACAAGUUACUGAUGGUUCAAAUUAAUUAAAUGAUUGCCCGUUUAGUUUUCAUACAUUGAAUCUGCCACAGUGAUGUGUCCUAUAUAUAUAGUGACUGCUAAUUAAGUUGAUGUGCUUUUGUAAACAGGGCACUGGUGGGGGGAAGAAGUGGAUGAAGAGGGUGCAAAAGGAAUGGAAUAUUCUUGAGAAUAACUUGCCAGGUACACAGUGAGUUAAUUUGCAUAUGGAGGGAAUAAAAAUUUUGAACUUUUGCAAUCAAACACAAACUCUUUCGACAUGUAUCUAAAGGUUUGUCCGUGCAUGCAGACACCAUCUUCAUGCGGGCGUACGAGGACCGCAUGGACCUCCUGCGAGCGGUGAUGGUCGGAGCUAGCGGGACGCCGUACCAUGACGGCCUCUUCUUUUUCGAUCUGCAGCUACCGCCGUCGUACCCUGCCGCGCCACCGCUGGUGUGCUACCGAUCGUUCGGCCUACGUGUGAACCCCAACCUCUACCCCUCCGGCACGGUGUGCCUGAGCCUGCUCAACACCUUCGGUGGCCACGGAGCCGAGCUGUGGUCCCCGGAGGCUUCGACCGUCCUCCAGGUCGUCGUCUCCAUCCAGGGCCUCGUGCUCAACGCCCAACCAUACUACAACGAGGCGGGCUACGCCGACCUGGUAGGAACGCCGCAGGGUCGCCGGAACGAGCUCCCGUACAGCGAGAACACCUACCUGCUCACCCUGCAGACCAUGCUCCACCUCCUGCGCCGGCCGCCGGCGGGCUUCGAGGAGUUCGUCAGGGACCACUUCCACCGGCGAGGGCAGCACGUGCUCCGAGCGUGCGAGGCAUACCUAGAUGGCUGCCUCGUGGGCACGCUCGAUGGCGAGGGGAGCGGGGCGCGGCGCCCGUGCUCGGCGGGGUUCAGGCUCGCCCUCGCCAACGUGGUGCCCCGGCUUGUUGAGGCGUUCACCGCGAUCGACGCUGAUGGAUGCAAGGAGUUCGAUCGGAUACGGGUGCCAACAGUAUGCACUUAAUUUGUCUCUGCUACUCGCUAGUCCAUUUGUAUCCUACUUACAUUUUAAGUUACAAAACGCGUGUUCACACAUUUGAACUUUGACAUCAAUAUUAUAUUUUUGUAUACUGUUGGGAAUGGUACAACAGUUUUGCUACAUACUUCCUUCGUCCCAUACUUCAUAAAUAAUAUUUAUGUUGACUUAACUUUUGCGAUAUGUCUAGAGAUAGAUGUACCUAGAAAAUCCAAAUAAAAAUAAAUAGUAAACUUUGGGAGGUAGGGGUAUAGUUUGCAGCUGCAAUUCGUGAUCAAAGGUAGUAGUGUGUUGAUGGUAGUAUUUCGUUAUCCAAACACGGUACUCUAUUGUGGCGAACGAACACUGCUGGAUGAUCUCUAUCAGUACUGCUUGUUUGGUACUAACUGCCACACCAAUCGGUACUAAAUGCACCAUUUAGUACACCAACCAGUACUAACUGCAUGCCACGUCUCGUUGUUGUCGAUGGCAGUUUAGCACCGGUUGGUUUUACUAACCGGUACUAAAUGUUAUUCUUUUUUCCUUUUCGUUUUCCUUUUGUUUUAUCGUUUUCCUUUUGUUUUAUAAUUUCUAUUCAUAUCCGACGGAGCUUUUACUAAUAAUAUUACGUUAAUAUAUUAACCCAUUCAAAUCCAAGUCUCACAAAUAUCAGCCCAUUCAAAUCAUUAACACUCCGAGAAGAUUGUAUAUGCAAUAAAAUAUAUACAUCAACACUUAAGGUCUAAGAGAGAACAAGUUCAAAUUCAUAAGCAAAUAGUAGGGUACCGGUACAUCCAUGCAUGUUACAUAUUUCUUACUUCGCUUCGCUUCCUUAGAUAUGGAACAUAGUUAAGGUCUCCAAUCGUCCAGCCUAGACCUUCGUCAAAAUAAGCUAGAGCACGGAUGAGUGCACUCUCCUUCGCUUUGCAUGGAUGGUCACAUACACUACCAUAGAUCUCAAACAAUGGAGAGGUAAACUGAUGUGGCCUGUAUAAAGUGAGAUGAGCUUGGAGCUUGAAAUCUCUGGUGAGUAUCGGAUUUCCACCCAUGUAAGUCUAAUCCAACACAUCCAAGACUUGAGCUAGAAUCACGCGAAAGCUCGUUGCUGCAUUGGCAAUACAAACUAAAAGAUGCUAAUAAUGUGAUGAAAGUAAAAUGAUAUAACAUAACUAAAGAUAAAAAAAUAUUCCAUACCAUGUCAUAUUAAUUUCUCCCUCCUCGAGCUGCUUUAUUCAAAAAUAUGAUAAGUCUGGCACAAAGUACCCAUGAUCCUUAAGUUGUUGUAGGUAGGCCUCCACGACGGUCCUAUCAAAAGUUACCCUAUUUGGUGCUACUUGACCCCAUACAACAAUUGAAACUAUUAGGAUGGCCUGUCCUGGAGAUAUCGAGGUGAAUUAUGUUUCUCGAACAGGUACUUGAAAAAAGAUAUGUACUCUUUUAAAACGAGGUUCACCAACAACAUCAGUUUGCACUAAAGGAGAAGUACCACCUAUACCUUCGACAACAUCUUUGAGCCAUCUAAUAGGGUCGAUAAGCUACAUUGUAUGUAAGUAAAUUUAGAAAUUAUUCACGUGUAGUAAAAAUAUCAAUUAUAUGAAGGAAAGAAUAUUACUAUGUUGGGAACUGCUCCUUUGGUUCGAUCGCUGGUAGGCAAGUCAAUGAUGCGAUUGGGAAAGUGAAUUCCAAGAGGACGAGAUAAUGGUGGCUCCUCGAAAAUGUAGUGUCCGCCCUUACCACCUCCACGCCCACGACGACCAUAGUGAAAAGAACUUCCGCUUGCCAUAGUUAGCCCAAACUAUCUAAAUAAAAUUGUAAUAAGAUACAUUAUUCCACAAACAUCAACUUCAAUAGUAAGUAUAUCGUAAAACAUCAUUUAUAAUGCAAGAUAUUUACAAUUGUUGGUUUAGACCUUAUCUACAUUAUGAUAACUAAUCAAAACACAUUUAUUAUCAUAUUGCAAUUGCAUGGAAUAAAGAGAAAAAGGUAACAAUUUCCUAAAUGAAUUUACAGGAAAAAAAUGAAAAAAAUAGAAAAAAACAACCGGGGUGCUCGGGGAGGAGGCUGCGUCGGCGGCAGAGAGGAGGUGGUUCGGCGACACAUCGGGAGGACGGAGGCGAUGGGGAGGAUGCAGCGUCAGCAGCAAGGAGGAGGUGGCCCGGCGGCGUGUCAGGAGGAUGGAGGUGGCGGGGAGGAGGCGGCAUCACUAAUCUCAGUGUUUGCACAACACUAAUGGUUUUGAUUCUUGACUCCGUGAAGUCCUACAAUCUGAAAUCAGUGUUUGCACAUCACUAAUCUCAAUGAGUGUGCCCGUUUGCGUUCGGAUCUCACUAGCUAUUUAGAAUGUUCCUUUUCACCUCGGAUUUCUCGAUUGAAAUCACAUUGUUCAUGCGAAUUCCAAGUCUAUGGAGAGCCACCUCCGCUCCUCCGGUAACAGAGAAUAGCGUAAGCACAUUCAUGCCAUGUGUAGACACUAUUCUCACUAUUCAUGCCAUGUGUAUCCAUUGCCGGUCUAUCUUCAUCGUAUUACGUGAAAAAUGAACAUAGGGCUUCGUAUUAGAUAAAGAACUUGAUCCAUGUGUUUAUAAUAUUUAGUCCUUGCAAUAAACAUGAGAUAAAUAAAUUAUUGGUCAAGAAUCCUGAAAUCAACACUUUUUGCCUAACAUUGCAUACCGUUAGCACACUAUAAAUGCUGCAAUAAACUAUACAUUUUCCUCAAUCUAAUAAAUCAACAAGUACUCCAUUUGUAACAUAAAACUCAUUCUAAAAACCACUCCAUUCUCCUCAUUCUAAAAUACUCUCCUUAUUCUAAAAAAAUCAAUAAAUACUUAAUUUGUAACAUAAAACUCAUUCUAAAAUGGAAAGAAUCCAUUUUACUCCUAUCAUUUUACACCCCUCACCUAUUUAUUUUGUCCACUUAACCCCCUAAGCAAAAUUUAGGCUCACUUUACUCCCCCCAAACUACUUCAUUUGGUCCAAUCUACCCCCUAAUUAGAUUUCUCUUUUUUGUUUCUUCAUGUACAAACUCUCCUUGUUCUAGCUAAUGUACUCUCCAUUCUAGCUACAAAACAUAAAAUAUAGAAUACUAAGUAUGAGAGGAGGGAUUUGCUAACCUUUUCCUCCCCUAGUUCGAGUGAAGAAGAAGCCCGAGCUCACGGUCAAAUGGCUAAGCUCGGGCUUGGGAAGGAAGAAGCAGCUCAAUUUAUAGGAUUACCUCUAGCGCCAGGUGAUGGGUCGAGCUGGUACUAAAUGGUUUCAUGUUAGUACCGGUUGAAGAUAUCAGCCGGUACUAAAUGGUACAUCUAGCCGUUGGCCACGCGGUCCACGUGCUGCCAUUUAGUACUGGUUGAGACUCCAAACUGGUAUUGUAGGGGUUCUGGUGGCACUGUACAUGAUGACCGAUACUAAUGCGUUGGACGAAUGAUCAGUUUUUCAGCAGUGGAAUGUGCAAACACCAGCUAGCAGUACUGAAGUUGGAUGGAAGGUUGGCUUUGUCCGAACAAAUCAGUCCUUUCUGAGGCGAGGGCCCUAGCACGCGUCAUUUUGCAGUCGCUCUGAUAGAGUGCCAGGUUUUGGCGUUCAGCCGAAGUAGCUUUGGUGGGGUUCAUAUUGCUCCGUCGGUACAAGAACUAGCGCCCAGACAACCCAGAAUUGUGGAGUGCCCAGACAUCCAAGAUCCAACCCAGACAGAAACAUAAGCUAGGAUUGGAAGGUAAAUCAACCUCAAUGCCCCACGCAUAGCAUGAGCAUCAUCGGCCUGGCACUUCUCAGCCUACUACGUACAACUCUAGCCUAUGUGCAUGUGGAUAGACCCAGGUUAAGAGAUAGACCUUGGUGGGCUAGCUUAUCAUUUUUGUUCCUUUUUUUUAAAAAAGAGGGAGGAUUUUAAAUGACUAUAUUUUUUUUAAAAAAAAGAUGAACUGAAAUAAUUAUAUCUUUUGUGUGGAUGGUGGUUUGAAAAUGGGCCACAGUAGGCCCAAACUCGAGUCAAGGGCAUAUAACUGUCAAUACACGUAUUUUCGCAGUUAACUAUACUAAUGUACGCACCAAGUGUGUGUAUAUAUGUAUGUACAUAUAUAUAUCUGUGUGUGUAUAUAUAGAGUAUAUAUACUCUGUGGCUGGCUAUACAAUAAAUUAUUUUGUGUCCACCUAUUUAAAAUAAGUUUGAAUCAAUCAUUAAUUCUAUACUAGUUGUUUUAGUUUCUAAAAUAAUUAUUCUAAUGCAUCACUAUCAUCAACAAACUAUUCAAUUAAAUAAUUUUAAUGUGCAAAAAAAAUCAAUUGAUAUAUGUGGUUAACAUUGUUUAUAUUCUUCACCUCAACUAAUUUAAACACACAAAUUUAUAUAUAUUUUCCACAAGUUUUGUUAAAGAAAAAAAUAAAAACUUUACAUAUUUUGAACAUGCAAAAAUAUAUUAAAUUAGCAAGUAUAUUUAAAAUAAGUUUGAAUUAGUCAUUAAUUCUAUACUAGUUGUUUAAGUUUCUAAAAUAAUUAUUUUAAUGCAUCUCUAUCAUCAGAAAACUGUUCAAAUAAAUAAUAUCAACGCGCAAAAAAAUCAAUUGAUGUAUGUGGUUAACAAUGUUUAUAUUGAUUGAAUAAAACUUCACCUCAAUUAAUUUAAACACACAUGAAAUUAUAGAUAUGUUAAAUUAAAAAUUGUAUCAAGUGGUACAAUUAAUAAAAAACAUGAAAUCAUAGAACAUUACAAUAUAAUUCACCAUAGAGCAUUACAAUAUAAUUCAAAAGUGCUUACAAUGUAAUGUUUAGUGCAUUACAUAAAGGUGAACCAUAUUUAGUGCAUGACAAUAUAAUGUUAAAAAGCUUCUUCUUAUUGAAGGUGAACCAUAUUUAGUGCAUUACAAUGUAAUUUUAAAAACUGCUUCUAGUUGAAGGAUCGGAAAGGCGACCAGAUGGGGGUGAAUGGGAGCCGAUUCAAAUUUUUCCCAAGAACUUUGGCUAAAAACUCACAAGCCUCUCUUCUAGCAAAAUCAAGUCCAACUAGCUAUGCACAAGCUAAUGGACCUAGGAAUGAUGUUGGGAACCCAAUUUGAGAAUAGCGGAAGCAAGAAAGACUCCAAACAAGCUCCGGAAGACAAAUUUAGAAAACCAACACCUCUGUGCGAAAAAAUCCGGAGGAAUCUUCGGAAAAUUCCGGACAUGCGGAAAUUUCUGGAGGUCCGAAGAUUUCCGGAAUUAUGUCCGGAGAUUUCCAAAAUUCUAAAACAGCCUGCAUGAAGAUGGCAGAAAAAAUCUGAAACUCGAUCAAACGACCCCAAAAAAUCAUGAAAUUUUAAGCAUAGCUUCCGAACAACAUAACAAACAUAUUACCAAAAGAUCUCCUCAAAAAGAUUAGCCAAGCACAGAGAAUUAAAAAUCUUGUGAAGAACAUCGCUUUUUUAACCCUAGAACUUGAAUCGUCCCAAUAUAUGAACUCGUGAGGAGUUAGAUGAAUUCCUUUGGUAGAAAGACUUCACUCAAAUCCUAGUUCAUUUCCAAAUGAUCGGUUUGACUCUAGACUCCCCAGAAAUCACGAAUCGAACGAAAACGUGAGAAGGGAAAAAUAGGAGAAAACAAGAACGCGAAGAACACAAGCGAGAGUUUCACAAAACCGUCAUCCUCCUACACUCAGAGGACACGAGGAGGUUAGGGCCUCCAUUCCCGCAACAAAAACUCAGUUCAAUACAUGAAUUUGCUGCUCAAAAUAUCCGAGGACCUCUAGGGAGAGACUAGAGAGAGAGAGGAAAAACCAAAUGAAAUCCUAGAGAGAGAGGUAGUGACAGAGAGGUGGAAGAGGUGCUAAAAACUUCAGCCCGCCAUCUCUAUCUAUAGGCGCAGACAAAAGACUAAACUACCCCUAUUGCUACUACUAAGAUAACUACCCACGCAGGGGCAUUUUGGUCCAAGUUUUUGUGCGCUCAUCGGACGGACACGCCACCUUCAUGACUUUGCUUCGCCUCAACGCAAGCUAUGCGCUAAUACCACAUGCCCUCCUUCUCGAAGCUCCGACCGCACCGGGCUUGCCCCUGGUUUGGAGGUCCAAACCGGGAAAGCUGCCAGCGCGGUGGUUUUGAGGCUCAAACCAUCCAAACCGUCCAUCUUCGCUUGGCCGCCACGCGACCUCCUCAAUGGCGACGCGUGUCUGAUCUCCGCGAAGCCUUUGACGCCUCCAAGUCAUUUGUUCCUGGCUCCCGGGCCGCCUACUUGACUUGCCUCCGUCCCGCUUGACUCGACCAAUGCCGUCUCCAUCACCGUCAUGCUGUCUUGUCAUUCCGUGCACCAUGUGGACCGCCCAUGACUCCACCCGGACUCCUCAGGUCCAUCGGUCCAAGCCUACUCGCGUUCAUCCUUCAAAGCCCUUGGUCCAUCAGCAUGAACCUUUUGCUUGACCUUCACCGCAUGCCGUCGGCCAUCACACCGCAUCCUACACCUGCACAUCACAAGCCAAGAACAACAUCAAACCAACACAAUGUUGUCAAUCACUCAUCAUCCAAGGGUGACCACCAUUGGUCCUCAAUCUCCCCCUUGAUGAGUGCAUUGACAACACACCACAAAUUCAUAGUAUUUGAAAAAGAAAAUAAGAAACUAAAAACAGAAAAUCUCAGUCCCCUAAGAUAAGGGCAAUGGCUCUACACGACUGAGAUAAAAUCAUGUGAUCCCUCAAGAGGCAGAAAACGGGCUCAACACCAAUCACAUGAAAAACCAAAUCUGGCUCCUCAAGAAGAGGUAAAACAGAUCAACACAACCGAAAAAAGAGCAAAAGAGCACGACAAAGCUCACAUAGACUCCCCCUGAACAAAUGCACUCCCGCUGAGCAAAUACAUGAAAUUUCUCCCCCAUGUUGAAAGAAAUGCAUGAAAAAUCUCCCAAAUUCUCCCAAGAGUCUUUAUGAAUUUCAAUUCUCCCCCUUAUUGACAAUGCAAUCAUCAAGUCAAACAUGAAAGCCUAAAAAAACAUGCCAUGAAAAUGCAGAAACUACCAAGCUUCUCAGAUAUACCACGGAAGACUCUCAAAGGCUACAAGAGAGAUAAGCUUGGUGGAUUACAAGGAGCAAUAUCAUUGCUAGCAAGAUGAAUUCAUGUUACAGCAAGGAGUUGAAGCAAAUGUCUAGUUUUAGCAUUGUUUUAAAAGAUCACCACAUGAGCAAAUACCUAGUCUAGAAAUACCCAAGCAAGAAGAACUAGGCCAUCAAAAGCUCAUACAAGGAAUAAACAUUCUUGACAAAAGAUCAGUGCAGACACCCACAACACAUCACAAGUCAUGUGAGGCUUGUUGAAACCAAGUGCCUACUUCUUUUUGGUAGACAUCUUGUAAAAACUAAAUGAGCCAGAAUAUCAACAAUUAAGCAUAAAGACUUGGUGAAUUUAUGAAUUUUUGUUUUCAACAUUUUCCUUUUCCAUUAUUCACAAGGCAAAAUACAUGGAGUGCCUUUGCGGCACAAAGAAGCCAUGCUUCCCUAAGGGGUGCAUCAUGGGCUAAACAUCUGCAAUGAUACCUAGAUCUUUGACCCAAUUGAAAAGAACAUGAAUUCCAGCCACAAGCUAAAUUUGGAACUAGCAUUCAAAUAGGGGUAAAUCAAAACUAAGCAUCUACUGAUGGGUGAUACACAAGUUAAUAAAGUAGAAUUUAGCAUUGAAUUUCAAAAAGUAGUUUUCAUCAUGUAUACAAGAUCAUCAAGAGCAUAACUGCACAUUGCAUCUAAGAUAAACAACCAAAGCACUAGCUCACAAGUAGCAUAAGGUAGUAGUCAGGGCAUAUAAGAGAAGCUCAUCUAGUGCAGUAUGAUACAAAUGCAAUAUGAUAUAGAUGCAAUGAAAGCCAAACUAGCAUACUACAAAGAUGCUAAAAAAAAGUGGUUGUACAGAUAUAAUACAAGAGAAACAACAAAAUCCAACUCAGAAAGAAAAGCAAACACCCAACUCCCCCCGCAAAUGAGCAAAUGUGGCUUGAUCCAGGGGUUUGGUGAAGAUAUCAGCGAGCUGGUUUUGGGUAACAACAUAGCCAAGGUCAAUAUCUCCUCUCUCAACAUGAUCUCUCAGAAAAUGAUAUCUCACAUUAGUGUGUUUGGUUUUGGAGUGGAGAACAGAGUUCUUGGCUACACUUAUGACACUCAUGCUGUCACAAAGAAGAGGAACAUGAGUAAAAUCCAAACCAAAGUCUCUCAAAGUGAAAAUCAUCGAAAGCAGCUGAGAACAACAACUAGCAGUAGCAACAUACUCAGCUUCGAUGGUAGACUGAGCAACACUAGGCUGUUUGCGCGAAGACCAAGAGACCAAAGAUGAACCGAGAAACUGGCAAGUGCUAGAGGUGGACUUUCGAUCCAAGCGACACCUAGCAAAGUCCGCAUUGGAGUAUCCGUGGAGAGUGAGUGUCGAGGAGGCAGAAUACCACAAACCGAAUUCAGGUGUGAAACGAAGAUACCUCAUGAUUCUCUUCACUGCCUGAUGGUGAGAUGUCCUUGGUGAAGCUUGAAAACAGGCGCACAGACACACUGCGAAAUGUAUGUCCGGCCUCAUCGCUGUCAAGUAGAGGAGGAAGCCGAUCAUGCUCCGGUACUCCUUCUGGUCCACCGGAUCGCCAUCUUCAUCCGCAUCUAGUGCCAUCGUCGUUCCCAUGGGUGUGGACAGUGGCUUAGCAUCAGCCAUGUCAAACUUUCUCACCACAUCGUUCGUGUACUUCCCUUGGUGCACGAAGGUUCCUUCCUUGCUUUGCUUGAUCUGUAGACCGAGGAAGAAGGUCAAUUCACCCAUCAUCAACAUCUCGAACUCCCUGCUCAUGUCAUCUACAAACUUGGCAACAAAAGCAUGAGAGGAACCACCAAAGAUAAUAUCAUUUACAUAAAUCUGAACAAUCAUUAAGUCUUUGCCUUGCUUGAGGAGAAAGAGAGUUUUAUCAACUGACCCCAUUUCAAACCCAUUCCAAAGCAAAAAGGAUUUCAACCUAGCAUACCAUGCUCGGGGUGCUUGUUUUAGGCCAUAGAGAGCUUUUUGGAGUUUGAACACACCAUCAGGAUAUUUAGGGCUCUCAAAACUAGGGGGUUGUCUCACAUACAUUUUCUCAUCUAUGAAACUAUUUAGGAAGGCACUUUUCACAUCUAUUUAGAAGAGCUUAAAACCUUUAGUCACAACAAAGGUUAGAACGAUUCUAAUCGCUUCCAAACAGGCAAUUGGGGCAAAGGUUUCCUCAUAAUCUAUCCCCUCUUUUUAACUAAAGCCUUGGGCAACCAACCUCGCUUUGUUUCUCACAACCAACCCAUUUUCACCCUAUUUGUUCUUAAAAACCCAUUUUGUUAUCGGGUGGCAAUUUGGAGGUGGUUCAAAUAAAACCCAAACCCUGUUUCUCUCAAAGUGUUCUAACUCCUCUUGCAUAGCAUUGACCCAGUUUGAAUUAGAUAAAGCAUGUCCAAUAUCUCGGGGUUCAAAAGAGGCAACAAAAGCAGAAUGUGCAAAGUGUGAAAUCUGCCUAGAACUAUGCCUAGUGGUGUUCUCAUGCAAGUUACCGAUCAUUUGUUGAUGUGGAUGGUUAUGCUGAAUGUGUCGUGGAGCUCCUCGCUCUGAAGUAGCCUCCCCCUCAACAGCAGCUUGUUCACUCUGAUCUUCUUCUUCAUCAUCUUGUAGUAGUACUUGGUGAUAGCUUGAAGUAGUGGAAGUAGGGGUUAGAGCCAUCAACUCUUGUAGUAGAAGUAGAAGGUACAGGAGGAGCAGCUGGAGCACAGUUCACUUCAUGAUCUUCUUCAUCACCACUAUCAGCAUGCUUGUCCUCUUCAAAAAUACUUUGUCCCAUUUCAUGUUCACCUGCAGCUUCAAAGACAAGGCAUAGUUUCAUCGAAAGUAAUCUCACAAGUUUCCACAAUCCAGUUAGUUUCAAGGUUAAGUACACGAUAAGCACGACUAUGAGAUGCAUAACCAAGAAAAAUACCAUCAGUGGACCGAGACUCAAAUUUCUCCAAAUUGCCUUGCUUCAGAAUAAAGUACUUGCAUCCAAACACUCUCAAAUGACUUACCUUAGGGGAAUGUCGAUGCAUCAAUUGAUAAGAGAUUUUCUUCAUAAAAGAUCACAAGAAGAUUCAAUUGGAAACAUAGCAAGCAGUGUUUAUGGCUUUGGCCCAAUAUUUCCUAGGAGUCCUAUGCUCAUCAAGCAUCGUCCUAGCCAUCUCACAAAGGGUUCGAUUCUUCCGUUCAACAACACCAUUCCGAGGAGGGACAUAAGGCGAUGAAAACUGGUGUUUAAGACCAAGAUCAUUGCAAAAGGCUUUAAAACAAACGUUCUUGAAUUCUGUGCCAUUGUCACUGUGGAUAGCUCUCAUGACAUCUUUAGGUUGCUCAUUUUUCAACCUCAAGAUCAAAUCUCAAACAAAAGGAAAUGCCUCCUCCUUAGACUCCAUGAAGAAAACCCAUGAAUACCUCAAAAAAUCAUCAACGACUACAAGCACAUACCACUUCCCACCAACUGAGCAAACACAAGCUGGACCAACAGUGUCCAUAUGCAAUAGCUCAGAUAGAUGCUCAGUCAUCACCUGAUUCACAGGUGGAUGAGAAGCAGCAACCAUUUUCCCAUGUCGAUAGGAAGCACAAAUGAGAUCCUUCACAAAUUUCAAUUUGGGCAAAUCAUGAAUAAGAUCCAAAGCACUCAGGCGGGAUAGCAAAUCAAAACUCAAAUGUCCCAAUCUCCUAUGCCACUUCCAAAGUUCAGAAGAAGAGCCAGCAACCAAACAUUGAGACAAACAAAAAGACUUAGAAAAACCACACGAAACACCUGACCCUCGAGGACGAUCAUACACACAAGACCUCCUCGAGAGUCUAAAAUCCUUGAGGUCCCUUGCUUAAAAUGGACCUCAAAACCAUCAUCAAGCAGUUGCAACACAGAGAGCAAAUUGAAACCAAGAGAAUCAACAAGAGCAACUUGCUUGAGCAUGAAAUUCUCACUCACCUUGAUUGCACCUCCAGACAAAACCUUACCUUUGCUAUUAUCCCCGAAAGUGAUGUACUCCUUGGUCAUCACCGGAGUGAGGCUGGAGAACCAUCUGUGAUCACCGGUCAUGUGUUGAGAGCAAUUGGAAUCAAUAAGCCACGUGUUCUCUAGGCCUCUGACCUGCUCAAACAAAGGGAGACCAAGGAUGAGCAAAUGACUCAACACUAGGGUUAGAAAAACAAGUAGAAUACCAGUGUUGACCAUUUUCUCAAGAGUGGGGUUAGCAAAAUCAACCAUCUCUCAUCUCACAGGAGGACUACGGCCAACACUAGGAGGGAAACGUGGUCCGUUGUAACUGCAAGACUCAAAGCCACGACCAUGCUUUCCUGGGCCAUAUUGAUCAUGGCGAGGAGCAUGCCUAGCAAAACCAUGCGACUAGCCCUGUUAAUUGGGUUGGGUUUAUUGGUUUUAAUGGUUUGGUUUAUAUAAUAAGUUCAUUUGAAUUGGUUUAUAAUGAGUUGACCUGCUAGAUGGUUUGGUUUGGUUUGGGUUUUACAAAUAAAUAGUUUGGAAGGUGUUUGGGGUGUGUGGUAUUAUUUUUGGAUCUAAAAGACUCUCAACCCGUGGGUUGAGACCCAUUAAAAACCCAAAAGCCUGGAGCCUCAUCUAUCAAGAGUCGGACCCUAAAAAUAAAACCUCGCGUUCACACCUUAAAAUUUUGGAUAAAUUGAUCGAAACUUGUUACAGAUGAAUUAGUUUAACAGUCCGCUACUGUAUGCAAAGUAGUACGGCUGGACUUACAUGUGGGGCCCGCGUCAAGAGUCGGACCCUAAAACUAAAACCUCAUGUUCACACCUUAAAAUUUUGGAUGAAUUGACCGAAACUUGUUGCAGAUGAAUUAGCUUGACAGUCCGCUACUUUGUGCAAAGUAGUAUGGCUAGACUUACAUGUGGGCCCCACGUUGAGAGUCACAUACAAACUCAAAAAAAAAGUUAACUAAUGGGUUUUUAUUAGGUACCUAAUGGGUUCUUAUUGGGUUGUAACCAUAUUUGGCAAGUAAUUUGUAUAACUUAUGCAAUGGUAAGUUUGGGGUGGUGUGGUGUGUGAUAGUGGAGAUUUGGUUUAGGGUGGGUUAUAUUUAUUUUCUUAUGAGAAUAGAUUGGUGUGGUUACAACAUGGGUUACAACCCAAUUAACAGGGCUACAUGCGACGGAUCAAAACGCACACUUUCCACAUGACGAGGUGGAGAAGCUGCUCUAGGCGCAUGUACACCAUGAGAAGGAUGGUACAUGUCCCUGUUGCCCCACUCACGCUCACAGCUCAAAACCUUCUUCUUGCGAAAGCAAAACUUCUCAAGGUGACCCCCUCUCUUGCAAUACUCACUAGAAGGUUGUUUUGGUUGUGCAUUUGCUUUGGGUUGAGGGUUAAAUCUUGGUUGUGGUUUGACUUUGAGUUUUGGAGAGGGAUACUUGGGAGCAAUUUCUUGAAGUGUGUCAAGCUUGUUCUUGAGGUGGUUUGGCUUUUCCAUCCAAAUAGCUUUCUUGGAUGCUUUGGGUGGUGUCUCAAUGAAAACUCCAUCUCUCACACACUCAGACACAUUUUGCUCACAAGCUAGAUUGGGUUGCUCUCUAUUUAGUGUGGGUGUCCCUCGAGGGGUAUAGUCAGCUGGUGGCUCACAUAGGUUGUAGCUUGGUUUCUUUCUCUCACCACUGUUUUGGCCCACCUUCUCACACAACCCAUCAAAGAACUUGUGCAACCCAUUAAAAUGACAACCCUUGAUAACAGACCCAUGCCCAAAACCAUCAGCCCUUUUGAACUCCUGAAUCAUCAUGCCUAGCUGAGGUUCCCUACUUAAUACCCAACUAAGAACAGUACACAAAUAAGAAUUUUCAUCCUUACCAUGUUGCAAAGCAUCUCUAAUUUUAGGACAUUCAGUGCAAAUAGAAACUUCAGAUUUCUCAAGAACCUUAAUCCUAGCACAAGCAUCAUCAAAUUUAGUUUGUAAGGCAGAGCAAGAUUUGCAAGCACCAAACAAAACAGGUUUAGUCUUAAUCUCAUCUAGAGCAUCCCUAGUCAAAUCAAGUUCAUCUACAAGCAAAGCAUGCUUAGAUUGCAAAGAAGCUAUACUAGCCAUGUGAACAGCACAUUCAUCACACUCAACAACAUCAGAAAUGGUGAGAGCAGACUUGAGCAUAUCAAUCUCAAUCAAGGCACUCUCUAACUUAGCCUUAAGCUCAACUCGCUCUCUAGUAGCCUUCUUAAGCAAUUUAUCAUGACUGAUAAGGCAAUCAUUCAGUUCUUCUCCUUCUAAAGCAAGCUGUUCAGGAGUAGGUAUUACCUCAAUUUCUUUGUUGGAGUCGAUGUUGCUGAGGGAGGCAAUCAACGGGCACGCUUUGGCCUUCUUGUGAUGCUCCUUCUACUCACGGUCGGUGUACUUCUUGUUCUUCCUAGUGUCGUCCUUGUUCUUAUGCUUGUUGUAGUUCUACCUGCUCUUGGAUUUGUUCUUGUCGGGGCAAUUGGCUGCGAAGUGUCCUGGCGUCCUAGAGUCAAAGCAGGUGUUGUUGUUCCUUCACUGGUUCUUGUGGUUGUCAUUGAAGCACAUGAAUCACCAUCUGAUCAAGGCGAGCUCAUCAUCAUCAAGAACCUCCAACUGCUCCUCGGACACUGAAACCAAAUAAGAUAGGGCAAAUGACAUCGAAGAAGAGCCACUCAAAGACUUAGGCUGUCCAGAGCCUGACAUGAGAACCAUACUAUUUUGAUCAGUAGGGCUCCUCUGUUUAGCUCGGAGCCUCUUGUCAACCUCUGUGGAUUUCAACUUAGCAAAGAGCUCAUCAGUGGAAAGCGUCUCAUAAUUUGGUGACUCAAUGAUAGCAUCAACCUUCAUACCCCACACUUCAUGAUCCAAGGCAUGCAGAAGCUUUAAACCUCUAUCAUGAUCAGUGUAGGGUAAGACGGUGAUAUUUGUUUUCAUCUUGUUCAUAGUAGCCAAGAAAUGCUGAAACAAAGCAUCAGCAGACUUGCCAGGCAAAUGAACAAAGUUCUCAUACUCACGCCUGUAGGUCUCAAAGAGCCUAGCCUUCACCCAACUGUUUCCCUCAUGGAAAUUCUGAAGUUGGGACCAAAUCUCAUGAGCAAGAGUGAGAUCCUCAACUCGAUCAAACUCAGCACGACAAAGGCUCGCAAAUAGAAUAUCAAACGCCUUGUUGUUGGUGUGAUACUUAUCCCUAUCAUCUUGAGAAACACGAGCAGCAGGAAUCACGUAGUUCACAUCCUGAGUGAUUUCCCAAAUCCCUGCUCCCCUACUGUUAAGAUGGGCUUUCCUGCAAGUUUUCCAAUAUCUAUAUAGUCAGUCCCAUCAAAGUGAGGUGUAGCCGUCAAGGAAGAAUGCUCAGAGGUUGCCAUCGUGGGUUUCAAAACCGAUUAGGGUAUUGAGAAACCUUAACCGGCUCUGAUACCAAUUGAAGGACCGGAAAGGCGACCAGAGGGGGGGUGAAUGGGAGCCGAUUCAAAUUUUCUUGAAGAACUUCGGCUAAAAACCCACAAGCCUCUCUUCUAGCAAAAUCAAGUCCACUUAGCUAUGCACAAGCUAAUGGAUCUAGGAAUGAUGCUAGAAACCUAAUUUGAGAAUAGCGGAAGCAAGAAAGAAUCUAAACAAGCUCCGGAAGAUAAACUUUGAAAACCAACAUCUUUGUGCGGAAAAAUCCGAAGGAACCUUCGGAAAAUUCUGAACAUGCGGAAAUUUCCGAAAAAACCUUCGGAAAUUUCUGGAGGUUCGGAGAUUUCCGGAAUUCCAAAACAGCCUGCAUGAAGAUGGAAGAAAAAACCAAAAUUUGAUCAAACGACGUCCAAAAAUCAUGAAAUUCUAACCAUAGAUUCCGUACAACAUAACAAACAUAUUCCCAAAAGAUCUCCUCAAAAAGAUUAUCCAAAUAAAGAGAAUUAAAAAUCUGGUGAAGAACACCGCUUUUUCAACCCUAGAACUUGAAUCGCCCCAAUCUAUGAACUCGUGAGGAGUUAGAUGAAUUUUCCUUUCAUAGAAAGACUUCACUCACAUCCUAGUUCAUUUCCAAAUGAUCGGUUUGAGUCAAGCCUCCCCAGAAAUCACGAAUCGAACAAAAACGUGAGAAGGGAAAAAUGGGAGAAAACAAGAACGCAAAGAACACAAGUGAGAGUUUCAUAAAACCGUCAUCCCCCAACACUCGGAGGACACGAGGAGGUUAGGGCCUCCAUUCCUACAACAAAAACUCAAUUCAAUACAUGAAUUCGAUGCUCAAAACAUCCGAGGACCUCUAGGGAGAGAGUAGAGAGAGAGGAAAAACCAAAUGAAAUCCUAGAGAGAGAGGUAGUGAUAGAGAGGUAGAAGAGGUGCUGAAAACUUCAGCCCCCCAUCUCUAUCUAUAGGUGCGGACAAAAGACUAAAUUACCCCUAUAGCUACUACUAAAUAACGACCCACGCACAGGCAUUUUGGUCCAAGUUUUUGUGCGCUCAUCGGACGAACACACCUCCUUCACGACUUCACUUCGCCUCAAUGCAGGCUAUGCGAUGAUACCACAUGCCCUCCUUCUCGAAGCUCCGGCCGCACCGGGCUCACCCCCUGUGGUGGAACCGCCCAACUUAAGCUGGUUUAAGUGCGCUUAAUCGCUGUCGGAACAGCAAUUAUCCGAAACGCACCUAAAACAGCAUAAGUCCGGUAGUCCGUUGAGUGUCCCUAGGACUCCUCGAAGGAUCCACGACGUGUCUCAUAGCCAUACAUCAGGAUAAUAUCCGCGAUGGGAUAACAUCAACAAAUAUUACAUUUUUAAAGACAUAACAAAGGUACGAUAUAUUACAACCAUAGUUUGAAACAACUUAAUCAUGCAGAUCAGCGUGGUUCUUAAGAAUUUAAAAAUAAACAUUUAAGUUUUAUUCUAGAGUAUCAUGAGACUCAUAAGAUACCCUAGGUCUUCGGGGCUUCCUCUUCGGUGGGUCCCUGCUAGCUUUCUGAAAACAACAACAAGGGAUCCCCUGAGUACGAAGUACUAAGCAAGUCUUACCCGACUAACCAAUAUAAUAGUUUUCUUUGGAAUGUAUGUCAGCCUUUGGGUGUGCUUGGUUGACACAAUUUUUGCCGAAAAGCUUACUACGAGUGAGGCCUUAGUUUUAUCUUUUAUUUUAGUUAAGUCAUUACCUAACCAUUCUAGAUGAUAAUAGAAGUAAAAGCAACCACAGCUGUUAAGUCAUACAUUACUUGACAACAGGAGAUUUUAUAUUGCAUGAGUUGAUACUACGAUGCUCAACAGUGAUCAAGUGCAUUCAUAACCGAGAAUUGCGGCGAUCCGGAUCUAAUUACAUCCUGCAGGAGAGUACCCCGAUCACCAGCAUUAUACGACUGUUCCGGUCGUAUCUCACAACCUCUCGAUUAGCAAAGUCAAUGAUUAGGAAUACAACUACCCGGACCCAGGGAUGCACCCCCACAUGGGACCCCACGUCUGGCCUGAUCUCCAUGUGAGUUUCAGGCUACACCCCUGCCAAUCUCCAGCACGUCAAAUGCGGGUACGAAGCAUUCCUGAUCAUAGAAUUUACUAAUCUACUGGGCUUUACUGGUCCCAUACCCAGUAAGUGAUCAGAUGUUAUCACUUGAUCAGCGGUUAAGACACGAAUCGGGCCUUAACCAGAUUAAUCUAGCAGUAUUCAUAUUCCAGACUAUCCUUCAUAAGCAACAUGUAUGACUUAAGAGUUUUCCUUAAGGUUGGUAAACCAAUCACGUAAGCAAGUAAGCAAUUCUAGACUUGGGUAGUUUCUAGGAUUUGAACAAGUGGCAAAGAUAUCCUUAAAUCAAGGCAUGAUCAUACACAAGAAUAGGUUUCAUCCAACUCCUAGACUUAGUGCAUACAAUAAACAAAUAACCUAUAACUAGUCACAUGAAAUGACGACUCUAAAAAUAGAUAGGUAUAAAUGCACCGGGGCUUGCCUGGGAUCAACAAGGUUAGUUCUUCGGAAAACUUGUUUACUGAAAGAGGCACUCCACACUUCGCGAAUGCUGUCCAUCUCCGGCUGAAUUCCAUGAAUUUCCCACUUCAGGAGUUGUGACGUCUACGAUCCAGUAUAUGCAAGAGUUAGAGAUGCAAAUUUUUGAAUACAAGACUAUACAACUUUCCUUCAUGAUAAAGUUGCAAGCCAACAAGGACUAUACAAUUUAUCAUGAUAAAGUUGCAAGCCAACACACAAAAGCCCUAAAGAUUAGCCCACCAUUUUUAUUUCUUUUACUAAACCUACCUUAGACCUCUUCUUUUAUUUUUUAAAAGCAUUAUACUAAUUUUCUAAUCUCAAAAACCUAAUUCCUAUGAAUUAAUAAUAAUUUGUGGAUAAUAAAGCAUUUUCAAGUUUUAUAUAUUUAAUAAAGUUUAAGCAUUUAUUUAAAUACCUUACACAAAAAGGCAUUAAAUAAAUACCUAAAUUUUUAUUAUUUUUCCUAGGGUUUAAGAAUUUUAAUGCAUAAAGGAAAAUAAAACAAUCCUAAUAAAAUUGGUUUCACUAAUUUUGGACACUUUUAGAAUUUCCUGGGAAUUAAAUGGUGAAAGCAGCAUUUAAUCUAUUUAUCUAACAAAGAAAACCUAAGGUUUAAUUAAAACCUCCGGCCCAAACUUUUCUCACCCAACUUGCUUCUACCCACUAUCACUUCCACCUAGGGCCCAUCUGGUUUCCUAUUCUCCUUCUUCUUUUCUUCCUUGACAAGUGGGGCCCACGGCCGAAACCUUCCCUUGGGCCGAAAAGUGGCCCGCCAACUUUUAACCCGUGACGCGUGGGCCUCUAUUCGGCAGCCUCCUCUUUGGGCCGGCUCCCCCUUUUCCUCUCUUUCUCAAUCCCGGCCGGCCCAUCUCUUCUUUUUCUUUUUCUAUCUCCGACAAUCGGCCUGCUUAAUCCGGCCCACGGCCUUUCUUUCCUCCGCCGGCCCCCUUCUUCUUUUCCACUUCACCUGGGCCGCACGGCCCACUUUCCUUUCAGGCCAAAAGUUAACCCACCGGCUCUCCCUUCUUCCUUUACCCGCACGGGCUAACUGGGCUGUCGCCUCCCCUUGGCCCAAGACGGCGCUGGCCCUCUUUUCUUUUUCUCCUACUCCCACCUGGGCCUCCUCCACCGGGACUUGGCCUCCCGGCCCAAGUUCACCGACGGCCUGCUUCCCUUCUCUUAUUACGUUGCGCAGCUAGCUGGGCCGGUACCCUUCCUUUGGCCCAAGACGGAUGGCCGGCUCUUAUCUCCCUUGCGCCCCCCCCCCUCUUUUCCUUGUGGCUGGCAUGUGGGCCUCCUUGGUCAGGGGCAUCUUCCUCCCCUGGCCAAGAACAGAGGCGCGCCGGACUGGUGGGGGCUCGCCGGCCGGCGGCUCGCCGGCGACGGGGUCGGGCCGGGGAGGGACCCCCAGGCCGCGACACACCCGUGGGCGGCGGCGGCGCUCCGGGAGGUGGCCGGAGAUGGCCCCUCCACGGCGGCGACGGCUCAGCCGGCCGUUGGCCAUGGCGGCGUAUGUUGGCGGCGCAAAACAGCUUCCACAACUCCCCCUACGGCUUCCACACUCUUGCAGGACGCCCCUAGGCCCGUUAAUUGAGAAGAAACAGCCCGGUUUAGCAACUUACCUCGCGGAUUGGGUGACGGCGGCCGGCGGACCGGUAUGGCGGCGACUCGGAGCUCAACAGCGAGAAGCUGGGCAACGGAGCAGCGUGGGGCGUUGAGGAGGAGCUUGCGGAACCUCGGGUGGGUGGAAUCGCAAGGAGAAGCGGCGGCGUGGGUGAAUCGGUCGGCGGCGACACUGAUUUGCUUGAACUCGGUUCUCACGGCAGAAGAGCAAAACGGCAGAGAUUAACUGGAUGAGGGCGAGGAGGUACCAAUACGAACUUUCACCGUGCAUGCGUGCCACCUCGACAACCUGAACGAGCGCGGACGUGGCCGUGUGCUGGCCGGUGCUUCGGAAUGCCGGCGGCGGCACGACUCUUCUGUCGCCUCUGUUAUGCUGUUCUGCUUUCUUUUCUCUUCUCAAUCUACAUGUUCAGGCCGCAAAAUUGGCAAAUCCGAACCCAAUCUCUCGAACAUUCCUUAAGCAAUCUUGUAGAUUAAUCCGAGCACUUCAAUUGAUAGAUGGGCCUCUACCCGAGAUGAGCACCCUAACAUCUAGAUUUUUGGAGCUCCAAGUUCGGCCAGGGCCUUCUGUAACUGAACCCUGUCGAUUCAGUUUCGACAGUCUUCAAAAUGUGGUCAUUUACCCUUCUUUAGCACCAAUUUCAGUAGCUCAAUUGUAUUCCAUAUAGGCCAACCACUCCCUAUUUGUGUUCUAAAACUAAUAAGGAUUCCAUUUUGCACCAGAAACCAUAUAGCCUUUGCACUGGAUUUUCCUGAAAAUUGCUCCAAACAUUGCUAGUUAACACUGUCUCAGACUUAGAAUUUACGCAGCUCGAGAGUUGGCCGAAAUAGCUAGAGUGCUGACUUUGAGUUCUGAUUUAAAUUUGAUUCUUUCGCUAUCUCUGAGCAACAACACUUUAUUAAACAUGUCCAAGGAUCAUACUUCACCGCUGUCUAGUUGCCUUUGCUCACUUACUUGAAAAAUUGGGCAGAAUUCGGUUUCAAACAUAGAUACUCGUCAUGUUUUCCAGACCUAGACUUAAUUCGGCAAGGAGCUCGAAAUCUGCUCAAUUGCUGACUUUUGGCUCCAAUUUGAAUUCAAACCUUCCACUUUCUCUGGACAACAACUAUUCAUUUACUUUCUCCAUAGUCCAUAUUACACUAAUGUCCAAAAACAUCUGCUCACUUUUAAGGAAAUUUCUCCAGAAAUUGGUCCUAAAGUCAGGUACUCAAUACCAUUUUCAGACUUAACCAAAAAUUCAGCAAAGCUGCCGAUUGUGACAAAGCGCCAACUUUAGGCCUCCAUUUGAAAUGGUUCCCUCUGCUAUUCCUGAUCAACACCACCCAAAUUUUGGAGUCCCAAGUUCAUACUUCAACAUGGUAUAGUUGUCCUGAUUUACUUAUUUGAGAAAUUCAUCAGAAUUCAAUUCCCAAAAUGGACUCUGGACUGUUUUUCUGAUUUCUUGUUUUCGGACGGUGAAUAGUAAACGUAGCUUUUCAUUUCCUUCUCCGAUUUCUUUUGAGCGUUUAGGAUCAAAUAUUACUCCAAAUUUUUGACCCUUAAGUUCUAAUCAUCUUUACACUCCCACUCUAUAUUUUCGCCGAAUUUUUCUGAAUUUCAAAUUCAAAAUUCAAAUUUCGGCCAAAUUUGACCCGAAUUUGAUUUUCGGUCAAUUCCUUUUUCUUUUCUUCUCGAAUCGCUUUCAAUUCUUCAAAGUCACUUUGAUGACUAAAAAUGGCGGGUGUUACAGCCUCCCCCCCUUAACAGAAUCUCGUCCCGAGAUUCCCGGGGUUAAAUCCUCGGUUUUGAGAAUGGAAAGGAAACUGUCUCAGACAUCAUAUUUUCUCUUGUCUGUAUAAGGAAAGGGAGGUGGUGGCUUUGGUUCAUCUGACACUAACAGUUUCAAAUAACUUAAAAUAUUUAGACUCUAGGUCUUCAGUCUGUUCCAAGUAGCUUUAUCUGGAGCACGAUUCUCUCAGGGCACCUUGUAAAAUCUGAUACUCUUAGUUCGAGUAUGGAGGGUCUUUCGAUCCAGAAUUUUUAUACGGACAAAUAUAUAUCGGAGAAAAUUUUUCCUUUGACUCCAACCCGGUGUAUUCCUUUCAUCGGAGAUACUCCGAAAUGUACAAAGUCCCAAAAUAAAAUUCCAAAGAUCCUCUUUUUGUAUCCGAAUAACCUCUCUGUCAGGACUAAGCUAUUUCAAGGUUCGUACAAUUCUUCUGAACUUUUUCCUCAACUUUAAUUGACUAGAUCUGGUUCUAAAGGUACUCUUUCUCUUGAUUCUGACCAAAUUAAAAGCAACCAUUCUUCCCAUUUUUUGCUAGAAGUAAACAUUCAUCCCACUUCUUCGAGAAGGUGAGAAUACAGGUUCGAAGCAUAUCUUUUUCUGUCUAACCAGACAUCCUUUGUUCUUAAUAAGGGUAGUUCCCAUUGUCCCAUACAUUUGUUCCCAGAAUUCAGAGAUGAAAUUGAGAACCUCAAUUUAAGACAAUUGUCUUGGGUAUUCCAUGCGACGAUACUACCAUAAAAUCCAUGGAAAUGUCUUCCUACUUCCAUUUAGGAAUGGUGAAGGUUGCAAUAUGUCGACCGAUUUCUGAUAUAUAGUUUUCACUUUUGACACGUAUCACAUUCAGAUACAUUCUUGGCUAUUUCCCUUUUCAUUCUUAUCCACCAAAAUCAUUGCUUCAUGUAUUAAUACAUCUUAAUACUCCCCGGGUGCAUAAAGAAUCUUGAUAACAAGCUUCAUCUAAGAUGAUUUUCUCAAGCCCAUCUUCUUGAGUAUUAUUAUUCAAUUUUUGAUAUAGAACACCUUCUUUUCAUCCUGGUAAAACAAGUAACAUUACUUUUAGCUUACUCAUUUCCGAAGUAUUCUCAUUCCUUUGUCCUUCUUCUGAGCUUGUUCUGCUUCUUUCUUUAAAAUAUCUUACAAGAUGAGGUUAUGCAGUGUACAUUAGUUUUGUUCGGAUGAUACAAUUUCUAGUUUAUAGUCUUGGAUUAGUUUCAGCCAUCUUAUGCCUCAUAUUCAGAUCUGACUUUGAUAGCGUUCGGCCAUUUUUAAGAAAACUUCUUACUUCCUGAACAGUUGUGGGCGAUUCAUGUCCUUAACUUUUUCAGGAUCCACUUCAAUUCCUUUCUUGGACCAAACAUGCCUAAUGAACGGAACCUUCUUUAACCAAAACUCACACUUACUAGACUUGGCAUAUAGUUGAUGCUCCGGAAUCUAUCCAAAACAAUGCGCAAAUGCUCCGCAUAUUCUCCUUAUUCUUAUUGUCAAAACCUUUGUUUCAAAGCUUGAUACAUCUUACUGUUCUCAGGAUUCCGUGCAAAUUCAACCUUUUAGAAACUUGUUAAUAUCCAUAUAAUGCUCACGUCCCUUCCUUCUAGUUAAGGAACUUUUUUUUGAAUAGACUUUUGACCCGAUCCUUGGCGUGAAAUUUGAGCCUUCUCAUCCAUAAUUUCCCCUUUACUGUGGAAAAUGAAGAACUCGGGUGAAACCAGUUCCUCCAUAGUUAUGUUAUAAUAUAGCUGUAGAAUUGCAAAGAUAGUGGUGCUUUAACCUUUCAGGUAUUCAUGGGUUUGUCGAACAGGGAGUAUUAUCUGAGUUCUGGAUAACCCAUGGCUGCCACGAUAAUUGUCAUUGGGGCCGAUAAGUAGAUCUAGCAGGUUCCUAGUAGACAACCUUUCAACUCCUGAGGAAUACUUUUAAAUGCUUCAAAAGAAAUGUCCUCUUAUUCCAAGGAUUCCUCCCUUCCAAGGGGUUUGUCUAAAGCUCUUAUCUUUCCUGGGGAUUACUAUGUUCAUGGCAGAGCUAUGAUCUGUAAAAGUACUUGGGAGCAAUUCCUUUUCUCAGACUUAGGGUUCAUAUGUUCGGAAGCAUAUUGUGCCAGAUGAUCAAUUGUACUUAGAUACUUCCGAACAAUCUUGUGUCCCUGCUAAACUUUUUUUUUUUAAAGUUGUUCUAGCUGCACUCUUAUAAUCCUUUUUAGCAGAAACUAGGUACAAAUAAUUGUCUUGAAAUCUUCCCAAGCUAUCUCCUUUCUGACGGAUCGCCUAACCAGAUAGUUGGUCCAUCAUGUGCCUGUGGGACCUUGGAGUUAAUGUCCUGCAAACUCAACCUUUUGAGUUUCCGUACAUCGAAGAAUCACACACGUAUCCACAUAUAAUGUUUGGAUUUACGUGUAAUUCUACAAAAAUUUGUCUUAUGUUCAUAUAGUGAUCAGGGCUGACAUGUGCAGGAAAAUGCCACUCUUAGUAGCUUUAACAAGCAUGAGUAGACUGCGUUAUCUUCCUCCAAACCUGCUCCAGAAAACUCCUGGCAUUCUUUUUAGAGUUGAACAUCAAGGAUAUGAAGUAUCUGGUUUGGAAGAUUCUUCUCGAUAAUAGUUAAUAAUGCUUAUUCCAUCGCAGAACACAAGAUCUGCUAGCUUUCUCCCUGUUAGUGUCUCUGCCAGCAAUACUCUAAAAUUGUACACAUCUCCUCAGAGCUUUUACAUUCUGACAUAAAACUCCCAUCGGUGCCUUAUAUGUUUGUGUCAAAAAUCUUCACAGCCAACAACCCGGUCUUACCUGGAUUAGUUUUCCUCCGUAAACUGAACCAUAGCUUCCUUUCCUAAUCAAAGACUCUGGGAAAUUCUCAGUAACCUGAACUCAAUCCUUGUAGAAAAAUUUUCAGAAGUUCUUACUAGAAAAAAAAAACCAACUGUGAUUACAUUAUGAAGGACUUUCUCCAUGGAAGUAUAAGGCAUCACGAUAAUAUGAAUAGUGCCACGAGACCAACAAUGGGGAUAUAUUUUAACCCAAAACUUUUAAUCUUGCUGUCUGCAAAGGAACAACAUCGCACGCGGGUAUAUGCAGCUCACAUACUCCGUCGCAAAGACCUUGAUUCCCUUUAGUGUAAUAACUGUAACCUUUUUGAAAUACUCGGCACUCUUCCCAGGAGAUGAUUGCGGGACGAAUUUAGCGGACUGAGAGCUUGUAGAUCACAUAGAGCAGCUGGGAUAGUAUCUAUCCAAUUGUUGUGUGAAAGGUUAAGAAUAGUGUCUUCCCAAAAGUUGGUGGUUUUGAUACUGCUUCAAUUCCCAAUAACCACGUUAAUUCCCUAUAUUUUGAAUAUCCCUGCUCAGCAGUCUAGCUUGCUUAGCUCUUGAAUUCAUAAGACUAGCAAUAACAUUAACCCGGGUAAGAAUUUAUGGUGGCUCUACAUCACGGAUUCUGACCCGGAUUAAAUGUAUCCACUUGGGUCCGACAUUCUGGGGUUACAAAAAUCCAACAGACCGAAACUCAUUGAACUUCCUCUGGUUCUUUAAUAUCAUUAUUCCCUGCAUCUCGCAAACCUUGGUAUAUGUUUCUCUUAAACAACCCCCUCAACAUUGUCCUUAGCUAACAGUUGAUUAGGUUCCAUAUGACUUUUUCUAAAUUCUCUUCCAUUUUCCACACCAAGACUAUCCAGAUUCUCACAAACAUGCAGAUCUACUUUUUAAGAUGCCAGUUCAUUUAUACCCAUUUCGUUAUCCACAAUAUCCUCCUUUCCUUUUACUACAACCGGGACGAACAGAUGUUGCCUUGGUUUCCAUGGUUUUUUUGAUAUAUCUCUGAGGCAUCCGGAUCAAUAGAUUCCUGGGCUUGUGUCAAUUGACCUCAUAUUUAUCCAAUUUCUUUCACCACUUUUCUCAUAUCUUUUCCCAUAUUACGAUCUCGUGCAAGAGCUGCCUUCUUGCUUAUAUCGAAAUCAUAUGGAGUAUCUUUUCCCCUCCUCCUUGAAUCUUCAUUCCUUUCUUCCUAAUAAUAUUACUGGAACGGGCAUGUUGAUGAAGAGUAGGUAUCGAAGUCUUUUAAUUUCAUGAAGUGAUCGCAGUAACGUCGUGCUCCAUUUGAGAAAAUCCUUUAAACCUUUAUACAAUGCUUCCAAUACUAUGGUCCUGAUUUCUGAUCCCAUAACUCUUGUCAGACUGGAUCCAAUUUAUUCCUUAUUCUUCUCACACCUGAUAGUUUAAGUUGUCCUAAUUGCUUAUCCAAAUAAGGUUUGGUGUCCAUCCGUCUGUCUUGAUCUUCUCUUCUGCAGUUCUCUGUUGCAUCGACCCCCUUACUACGUUUAGCUCCUAUUACACGGGACGGGUUUAGGUCUAACGGCACUCUCCAAACCCAAAAGUUUUGAAACAUGCAAUGCACACAUGAUGCAACGAUUCCUACGUACUUUCAGACUCAUAUACACACUCGUAGAAAAAUUGGUGGCAUCGUAAUCUCUCCCUAAAUAAUAGACUACCGAAUACUAGCGACACACAGCAAACAGUUAGCAUCUGCAAAAUAAACAACCAGUUAACACUACUGCCACCUGUGACUCACAUUUUCUUAAUUUAAAAUAGAGUCUCAAUUUUUAAAUAGUAAUAUCUGUUGAUUAUCCCAACCUACGGCUCUGAUACCAGCUGUGGCGGAACCGCCCAACUUAAGCUGGUUUAAGUGCACUUAAUCGCUGUCGGAACAGCAAUUAUCCGAAACGCACCUAAAACAGCAUAAGUCCGGUAGUCCGUCGAGUGUCCCUAGGACUCCUCGAAGGAUCCACGACGUGUCUCAUAGCCAUACAUCAGGAUAAUAUCCGCGAUGGGAUAACAUCAACAAAUAUUACAUUUUUAAAGACAUAACAAAGGUACGAUAUAUUACAACCAUAGUUUGAAACAACUUAAUCAUGCAGGUCAGCGUGGUUCUUAAGAAUUUAAAAAUAAACAUUUAAGUUUUAUUCUAGAGUAUCAUGAGACUCAUAAGAUACCCUAGGUCGUCGGGGCUUCCUCUUCGGUGGGUCCCUGCUGGCUUUCUGAAAACAACAACAAGGGAUCCCCUGAGUACGAAGUACUCAGCAAGUCUUACCCGACUAACCAAUAUAAUAGUUUUCUUUGGAAUGUAUGUCAGCCUUUGGGUGUGCUUGGUUGACACAAUUUUUGCCGAAAAGCUUACUACGAGUGAGGCCUUAGUUUUAUCUUUUAUUUUAGUUAAGUCAUUACCUAACCAUUCUAGAUGAUAACAGAAGUAAAAGCAACCACAGCUGUUAAGUCAUACAUUACUUGACAACAGGAGAUUUUAUAUUGCAUGAGUUGAUACUACGAUGCUCAACAGUGAUCAAGUGCAUUCAUAACCGAGAAUUGCGGCGAUCCGGAUCUAAUUACAUCCUGCAGGAGAGUACCCCGAUCACCAGCAUUAUACGACUGUUCCGGUCGUAUCUCACAACCUCUCGAUUAGCAAAGUCAAUGAUUAGGAAUACAACUACCCGGACCCAAGGAUGCACCCCCACAUGGGACCCCACGUCUGGCCUGAUCUCCAUGUGAGUUUCAGGCUACACCCCUGCCAAUCUCCAGCACGUCAAAUGCGGGUACGAAGCAUUCCUGAUCAUAGAAUUUACUAAUCUACUGGGCUUUACUGGUCCCAUACCCAGUAAGUGAUCAGAUGUUAUCACUUGAUCAGCGGUUAAGACACGAAUCGGGCCUUAACCAGAUUAAUCUAGCAGAUAGAACUACAUCUCUAGCUUCUGUCCGUAUUCAUAUUCCAGACUAUCCUUCAUAAGCAACAUGUAUGACUUAAGAGUUUUCCUUAAGGUUGGUAAACCAAUCACGUAAGCAAGUAAGCAAUUCUAGACUUGGGUAGUUUCUAGGAUUUGAACAAGUGGCAAAGAUGUCCUUAAAUCAAGGCAUGAUCAUACACAAGAAUAGGUUUCAUCCAACUCCUAGACUUAGUGCAUACAAUAAACAAAUAACCUAUAACUAGUCACAUGAAAUGACGACUCUAAAAAUAGAUAGGUAUAAAUGCACCGGGGCUUGCCUGGGAUCAACAAGGUUAGUUCUUCGGAAAACUUGUUUACUGAAAGAGGCACUCCACACUUCGCGAAUGCUGUCCAUCUCCGGCUGAAUUCCAUGAAUUUCCCACUUCAGGAGUUGUGACGUCUACGAUCCAGUAUAUGCAAGAGUUAGAGAUGCAAAUUUUUGAAUACAAGACUAUACAACUUUCCUUCAUGAUAAAGUUGCAAGCCAACAAGGACUAUACAAUUUAUCAUGAUAAAGUUGCAAGCCAACACACAAAAGCCCUAAAGAUUAGCCCACCAUUUUUAUUUCUUUUACUAAACCUACCUUAGACCUCUUCUUUUAAUUUUUAAAAGCAUUAUACUAAUUUUCUAAUCUCAAAAACCUAAUUCCUAUGAAUUAAUAAUAAUUUGUGGAUAAUAAAGCAUUUUCAAGUUUUAUAUAUUUAAUAAAGUUUAAGCAUUUAUUUAAAUACCUUACACAAAAAGGCAUUAAAUAAAUACCUAAAUUUUUAUUAUUUUUCCUAGGGUUUAAGAAUUUUAAUGCAUAAAGGAAAAUAAAACAAUCCUAAUAAAAUUGGUUUCACUAAUUUUGGACACUUUUAGAAUUUCCUGGGAAUUAAAUGGUGAAAGCAGCAUUUAAUCUAUUAAUCUAACAAAGAAAACCUAAGGUUUAAUUAAAACCUCCGGCCCAAACUUUUCUCACCCAACUUGCUUCUACCCACUAUCACUUCCACCUAGGGCCCAUCUGGUUUCCUAUUCUCCUUCUUCUUUUCUUCCUUGACAAGUGGGGCCCACGGCCGAAACCUUCCCUUGGGCCGAAAAGUGGCCCGCCAACUUUUAACCCGUGACGCGUGGGCCUCUAUUCGGCAGCCUCCUCUUUGGGCCGGCUCCCCCUUCUCCUCUCUUUCUCAGUCCCGGCCGGCCCAUCUCUUCUUUUUCUUUUUCUAUCUCCGACAAUCGGCCUGCUUAAUCCGGCCCACGGCCUUUCUUUCCUCCGCCGGCCCCCUUCUUCUUUUCCACUUCACCUGGGCUGCACGGCCCACUUUCCUUUCAGGCCAAAAGUUAACCCACCGGCUCUCCCUUCUUCCUUUACCCGCACGGGCUAACUGGGCUGUCGCCUCCCCUUGGCCCAAGACGGCGUUGGCCCUCUUUUCUUUUUCUCCUACUCCCACCUGGGCCUCCUCCACCGGGACUUGGCCUCCCGGCCCAAGUUCACCGACGGCCUGCUUCCCUUCUCUUAUUACGUUGCGCAGCUAGCUGGGCCGGUACCCUUCCUUUGGCCCAAGACGGAUGGCCGGCUCUUAUCUCCCUUGCGCCCCCCCCCUCUUUUCCUUGUGGCUGGCAUGUGGGCCUCCUUUGUCAGGGGCAUCUUCCUCCCCUGGCCAAGAACAGAGGCGCGCCGGACCGGUGGGGGCUCGCCGGCCGGCGGCUCGCCGGCGACGGGGUCGGGCCGGGAAGGGACCCCCAGGCCGCGACACACCCGUGGGCGGCGGCGGCGCUCCGGGAGGUGGCCGGAGAUGGCCCCUCCACGGCGGCGGCGGCUCGGCCGGCCGUUGGCCAUGGCGGCGUAUGUUGGCGGCGCAAACGGCUUCCACAACUCACCCUACGGCUUCCACACUCUUGCAGGACGCCCCUAGGCCCGUUAAUUGAGAAGAAACAGCCGGUUUAGCAGCUUACCUCGCGGAUUGGGUGACGGCGGCCAGCGGACCGGUAUGGCGGCGACUCGGAGCUCAACAGUGAGAAGCUGGGCAACGGAGCAGCGUGGGGCGUUGAGGAGGAGCUUGCGGAACCUCGGGUGGGUGGAAUCGCAAGGAGAAGCGGCGGCGUGGGUGAAUCGGUCGGCGGCGACACUGAUUUGCUUGAACUCGGUUCUCACGGCAGAAGAGCAAAACGGCAGAGGAUUAACUGGAUGAGGGCGAGGAGGUAGCAAUACGAACUUUCACCGUGCAUGCGUGCCACCUCGACAACCUGAACGAGCGCGGACGUGGCCGUGUGCUGGC
rnacentral:lncRNA from 1 species